AUAAUUGCCUACAUGCCCUUCAAAACUUCGAAAAUAUCUCAUUUACUCCUACUUUUUUUUCUUUUCAAUAUACCCUUUAUAUGUUCCUCCAUUAUUCUAAAAUACCCUACAGUUAUCACCUAUUAAGUUAAUUUGGAUUAAAUGUGAGUUAAAUAUCUAUCACAGUUAAAAAAAAUUAAAAUGUCACUUUUGCCCUUAACUUAAGGGUGCGUUUGGUUCAAGUUAUCCUGGCAGGAUUACAGGCAAUCCUGCCAGGAUAACUAUGUUUGGUUAAUCCGCUAUGUAAUCUAGUUGUUAAUGUAGGAUUACAAAUCGAGCAGGAUUACAUCGAAAAUAUUAAUGUGAGGGGGGUCGUGUAUCUUGCAUUACUGAAACCCGUUAAUACUACAUAUUAUGUAAAAUGACAAUUUUACCCUCCAACAACCCCAAAUGCCUUCCCCCCGGCCCUCUCUCUCGCACGCCGCUUUCUCUCGCUCUCUCUCUCUGGACGUCUCUCUCUCUCUCUCUCUCUCUCACACGAACACCUAUCAUCUUCUAUUGCGUCGUCCUCCCAAAUAAUCAUCACGAUCUCCUUCCCUCCAUUCGUCAUUUCCGCAAAAAAUAAUAUUCAAAUGACCACAACAAGGGCAAUUUUGAAAAAAACUAUACUUUUAUGUCAGGAUUACUAAAUUUUAUAAACUGAACCAAACAUAUUAAUGCUAUAAACACUGUAAUCUAGUAUUACAUUACUGUAUUAAACCAAACGCUCUAAUGUAACAUUAGUAGUAAUCUCACGCCGAAAUCCAAGAUACCUGGAUAUGUCGAGAUACUUUGUAAUAUUACAUAACUCGAACCAAACGGGCCCUAAGGGUAAAUAAGAAAUAUUGGUGAUGGUAACAGGAUAUAUUUGAAAAGACCAAAAAGUAAAAUACUUUUUGUAUCCCUAACUUAAGAGCAAAUAAGAAAAGUGGGUGCUGCUAGAAGGGUAUAUUUGAAAGGGUAAAAUAGUAAUUUUAUAGAGAUAACAGAGUUCUGUUAUUUGAAAUAGGUUGGAACGUAAAAAGAGUAUUUUCAAUAUUAGCCUUCUAAGAAGGAUAAAUCAGAAAAUCGGGAAUUUUUUAGGGAUAUAUAAGCAAAUUGCCCCAUGUUCUUAUUUAAAUCUCAUAGAUUCUUUUUUCAUUUGGUUGUUAAGGACUUAAUAUGCAUGGUGCACUAGGAGAAGAUUCGAUUACCGAAGAUGCCGAGUUCGGACGAAAUCGUAGAAACCUUUGCUGCUGUUAUGUGCUGCGAUGAACGCCAACGUCUCUCCGAUCAAGGGGAAUCCGUCGCUGCCCGGAGGAUAGUUUGAGAUCACCCUACUACGAUGAAUUGUCGUCGUCGUCGUCGUCGUCGUCGUCGUUAAACUCUUUAAGAUCUUUAGAGCUAAGCAUGUGAUCAAAGUUAUGAAGAGAAAAUGUAAGAGAGGAUGAAGGAGGAAUUGAAGGGAAAAGUGAAGAAACAUCAUCAUCAUCAUCAAAAACUUGUUUUAAUUUCUACACUUUAGUCUCCCUACCAGUGGCAAAGUGUUAGUGCAGGUGCUUUUUAAGCUUGAAGGCAUGAUGCUAGCCAGGCUAGUUAUUGGUUGGGCCACAUCAGGAGACAUGAACAGUAGCACCACUAUCUCUUUCUCUGUGUGUGUGUGUGUGUGUGUCUGAUAGUUAUAUUAUGUAGGAUAUGUUGGGAAUUCGGUACUUGCCCCGGUACCGAAUUUUGAGAAUCCGCAACCCGCUCCGAUAUCGACUGUUGUUGAUUCGGUACAGAUUGUUAGGAUUCCGCAACGGAAGCAUCAAAUUGAGUUUUUAUUAUAAACCCCUCUCCUCAGUAGAAACUGAUACAAUCAUAAAAGAGAAAAAAACAACCAAACAAAAAAUAUGUGAAUAAAAUAAAAUUUAUUAAAUAAGAGAGGAUUACAUUCGACUCCUUUUCUGUAACAGAGUAGCUACAACCCGAGCCUUUUUUUUGAAUUUUUUUGCGCUUCUCUCGUCUUCAAUAAUUUCAGAAGGCAUCUCUCUUAUUCUGUGCACCUAUACACAAGGUAUACCAAUGAUCCACGGCUACGAAAGGGGCUCACGUCCUCUUGCACCCAUGCACGAGGUGCAUCCAACAAUCAUGACCAUAUUGGCCAUGCCAUAUGGGUGUGGCUAAUCCAUAUCAUCACCACCACAAUAAUAAAACAUAUGCUAUAUUUAUAGCUUACAUCAAAAGCCACCCAAAUCCUAAUCCAAUUAGAUUUCUACUGUAAUUAAUAUUUAAAAAUCUUAAUUUAUCUUCAACAGAUUUAAAUAUUAAUUCUAAUCCAAUUAUGAUUCAACUACAAAUUUAAUUAAAUCUGUUAGGAUAUAUCACAAGAAAAUUACCUAGUAUGCUAAAUUAUUGUAUGUCAGAUUGAUCAUAAGUUUAUAUAUGUCACAUCAUCAUGAGCAGCUUGGCAAUUUUAAAUAGAAAAGUUAGCAGAAUAUUUUGUCUGACUCUUUAGAUAUCAGUCAACAUUGGUUAUAAUUAACUGUAAUACAUUCGAUAUAUAAGUAUUACGUAUAAAACUCUCUCUCUCAGUAUAUUCUUGUUUGGAGGGUCUUUAUUAGCUUCUCUCUCUCUACAGAAAGAGAGAGAUCGGUUACUAUACUCUUAUGAGUACGAUCGCUCUUGUGUUCAUAAAUCAUAUUCGGUGAUAGAGCUUCUGAAUCGACAAUCCAUACUAUUAAACAUUAUGCAGAGCAUUUAAAAUUUAUAGAAAUCAAAUUUUAUAAUUUUUCCGACAUCAUUUACUUUACGAUCAAAAUGUCACAAAAUUGACAAAUUUUAAUGGCCGGUAUGAAAUACUUACUAGUUUAACGGUGUAAUAAAAUUAGAAUAAAUUAAUUUUUUGAUAAAAAAUUUUAUUCACUACCUAGAUAAAGAUCAAUAACUCCGAUUUUAAAUUUAAAAAUGUCAACAUUGGUUAUAAUUAACUGCAAUACAUUCUAUACGUUAUAUACAAGUAUUACGUAGAAAACUCUCUCUCUCAGUAAAUUCUUGUUUGGAGGGUUUUUAUUAGCUUCUCUCUCUCUCUCUCUCUCUACAGAAUCUCUCUCUCUCUACAGAAAGAGAGAGACCUUUGAUCACAAAAUUGACAAUUUUUAACGGUUGGUAUGAAAUACUUACUAUUUUAACGGUGUAAAAAAAUUAGAAUAAGUUAAAUUUUUGAUAAAAAAUUCUAUUCACUGCUUAGAUAAAGAUCAAUAACUCCGAUCUUAAAUUUAAAAAUGUCAACAUUAAUUGGUUAUAAUUAACUGCAAUACAUUCUAUAUGUUAUAUACAAGUAUUAUGUAGAAAACUCUCUCUCUCAGUAAAUUCUUGUUUGGAGGGUCUUUAUUAGCUUCUCUCUCUCUCUCUCUCUCUCUCUCUACAGAAAGAGAGAGACCUUUGAUCAUAAAAUUGACAAUUUUUAACGGUUGGUAUGAAAUACUGUUACGAUAUAUUUUAUCUAUAUUAGGAUGUUACGAUAUAUUAGGAUAUUGUGUUUUAUUGCCUUAUAUAGAGUAGUAUCAUUGCCUUCUAUAGAGUAGGAUUAUAUAACAUGUAAUCCUAGUUAUACUCUUACUAUAGUAGUCAUUGUUACUAUAGUAAGACAAUCUCUUGUACUAUAUAUAUUCAUUAAUACAACUCAAGAGGGUAUGCACUUUAGCCCUUCUUUCAUGGUAUCAGAGCAGGAGGUCCUGAGUUCGAGUCACACCAGGCUCCUAGCAUAUUAAUUUCCUCCCAUUUAAUUCAAGCCCACGUCAUGGGCCGAUUAAAAAGUCUCGAGCCCAGACGUGAGGGGGAGUGUUAAAUAUAAAAAUGUUUAAAAACACCAUUCUCUAACAGCUUAAGCCUUUAGAGUACACUGGUUGUUUGUUUGUCAUUCUUCCUCUGGCACUCUUGUUCUCCUCUUGUAUGUUGAUGAUAUAAUUGUCACCAGCAGUUCCUCUUCUCUUCUCGAUGCUCUUAUCGUUACUUUACAACGCGAAUUUGCCAUGAAGGAUCUCGGNAAAGAAAAAGGAAAACUCCUCAACUAAGAAAGAUAUAAAACAUGCAUAUAUAUACACAAAAUCACAAUGAAUAUUAUAGUCAAAAGGAAAGAAGAAAAAGGAAAACUCCUCAACUAAGCAAGAACUAAUUAAUCCAGCAUUAAUUUUAUGUAUAUAUAUGCAUGUUUUAUAUCUUUCUAUUUAAAGUACAACAUGGAGUGUUCAUCAAACUUAUUAUAACAAAAGAAAAUUUCUAUAUAUACUUAAUUUUUCACAAGAACAAUAAGUAUAUUGGUCAAUUCAGCCUUGUUCUUAUAAUAGAACUGCUCAAGCAAGAAGCAGUAUCUCUUAAACAGGUCCUCAAUAAUGGCUUCUCCAAAAUGGCUUUUGAGCAUGGAUUCAACAACAGCUCUAUUCCCCUUGGCCAUUGUUUGAGCACUUUUGGCCACUUGAUGGGGGAUGGUACCAUUUCUCAUUUGGGUGGGGUUGGAAUUAUGGCCACUUUGAGGGGCUUCUUGGGAAUUGUCAUCCCAAUUUACUUCAAAGAUCUCAAUUCUGCUGAUGGAAAAUGAGCCUUGGAUUGUGACCUCAUCCUUCACCUCCUCCACAGAUGGUGCAUAGUAGGGAGCAUUGAAUGACUCCACUUUUUCCUCUUCAAUUAGACCCUAUAAAUAAAAAAAAUUAAAAAUUAAAAAAAUUAAAAAAAAAAGAGUUUUAGAAAUAAUGGGCUUGUGCUGGGAUUAAUUUAGACUUCAGGCUAAUACUUAGUGGGAUUUAGGGGAUUUAGGGUCUGUUUGGUAUUGAGAACUGUCUAACGAUAUUAGACGAAAAGGAGUAGAGUAAAACCAUAUAGAAAAAUAAAAUUAGGCUAUUAUACUAUUAAUAGUACCAAACGUCUGGCGCUUAUAAGUUUUGGGCCUUUGGAAGAAGAUUUGUACGAUUAGGAUAAUAAUGAUUUCUUAGGGUUGAGUGGAUAGUUGAUUGAAUAGAAUGAUCUAACGGGUGGAAAUAGUCAAAGGGGUAGAUUCAACAGUGAAAAACUCGACCGCACUAAAUUAAUCCAAUGGCUAAAAACUUGAUAGCAAAAAGAGAGAGAGAGAGAGAGAGAGAGAGUUGAGCUAGAAUACUAUCGAUAGCAAACGGACUUCGUUGCCACUCAUUUAUUUUUGAUGAUGGAGCCUCCAAAUUGACGAUCGGCACCAUUGAACAAGAUCUAUACCACUUGAAGUGUUUAGAAAUUAAAUUUUAAAAUUUUUCGACAUCAUUUGCCUAAUGAUCAAAGGGUUUCAAAAUUUAUAAUUUUAAUGGUCGAUAUGAAGCUUUUUCUCGUUUAACGGUGUAAAGAUAUCCAAAUCAAUUGAAUUUUUGUUAGAAAAUUUUUUAAACUAUUUAAAACAAGAUCUAUACUCUUGAUCUUGACUACAGAACUCCUAUCAUCAUUUUUUAAAAAAUAUUCAUUUUCAGCCGUUCAUUUUUGUGUCCACUCGAUGGAUAAGAGAACAAUAUCGAAAAUGUAUGAAAUUUGAUUUNGCCUAGAUAAAGAUCAAUAACUCCGAUCUUAAAUUUAAAAAUGUCAACAUUAAUUGGUUAUAAUUAACUGCAAUACAUUCUAUAUGUUAUAUACAAGUAUUAUGUAGAAAACUCUCUCUCUCAGUAAAUUCUUGUUUGGAGGGUCUUUAUUAGCUUCUCUCUCUCUCUCUACAGAAAGAGAGAGACCUUUGAUUACAAAAUUGACAAUUUUUAACAGCUGGUAUGAAAUACUUACUAGUUAAACGGUGUAAAAAAUUAGAAUAAAUUAAAUUUUUGAUAAAAAAUUCUACCUAGAUAAAGAUCAAUAACUCCGAGCUUAAAUUUAAAAAUGUCAACAACAUUAAUUGGUUAUAAUUAACUGCAAUACAUUCUAUAUGUUAUGUACAAGUAUUACAUAGAAAACUCUCUCUCUCAGUAUAUUCUUGUUUGGAGGGUCUUUAUUAGCUUCUCUCUCUCUCUGCAGAAAGAGAUAGUUCGGUUACUAUACUCUUAUAAGUACGAUCGCUCUUGUACUCAUAAAUUAUUUUCGGUGAUAAAGCUUCCGAAUCGACGAUCCAUACUAUUAAACAUUAUGUAGAGCAUUUAAAAUUUAUAGAAAUCAAAUUUUAUAAUUUUUCGACAUCAUUUACUUUACGAUCAAAAUGUCACAAAAUUGACAAUUUUUAACGGUCGGUAUGAAAUACUUACUAGUUUAAUGGUGUAAAAAAAUUAGAAUAAAUUAAAUUUUUUAUAAAAAAUUAUAUUUACUAUCUAGAUAAAGAUCAAUAACUCCGAUCUUAAAUUUAAAAAAUUCGAUCAUCCAUUGUUAGGAUGUCGUUCGAUUUUGACCGUUCAUUUUAUAUCUGCUUGAUAGACUUUAUUAUGAUUUCGAAAAAUUAUAAAAUUUAUUUUUUUAAAGUUUCAAAUACUUUAGAUCAUAUUUAAUAGAAUGGAUCGUCGAUUCGGAAGCUCCAUCAUAAAAAAUAACUUAUGAGUACGAAGGGCUCUAUACUCAUAAGAGUAUAUAGGGGUGGAAACGAGCCGAGCUCGAGCGAGCUUAUGUCAGCUCAAAUUCGGCUUGAAAUUAAUUUCGAGCCUAAAUCUAGGCUCAAGCUCGGCUUGAAAUUAAUUCGAGCCGAGCUCGAGCGAGCCUAAUUUCGAGUCGAGCCAAGCUCGAGCUCUAAACGAGCCGAUUGAAAUUCUCGACAUUAUAUAAUCAAUAGUUUAAUUUUUAUAUAAUAUUACNUCCUCUUUUACUGUGUGUAUAGUGUAUGCAAUGAAAAAGGAAUGAAUGUUCCUGGAGUGUUUACAGCAAUCUAAGCCUCUAAUGGCUGCGAUAAUUCAGAUGUAAGAAUAGCAUAAACAGCAUGAUAGAUCAUUCUGUUGGCAUGCUUCAUACUCUGCUGAUCUUCUCCCUCAAAUCCUAAUGAGUUCAUGUUUUUGGAUGUAGAGAAUUAAAUCAAACUUGAUGUGAUAAUUGAUUUUCUGUGAACAACACAAGCUACACCGAAACUUUUUUAACAUUUUACUGGUCAAUCUCUUCUUUUCAACUCCUUUCAUGAGUGAUUUGCCUUUGUUUUUGGAAUCUAAGCUUCAAUUGCCCAUUAUCAUGCUUUGUGCUUUAAAGUGAAGGGUUCUCAUUGCAUGUGUUCCAUGAUUAACUUAUGGACCUCCAUAGGGACCAGUACACUCCCACUGAAAGAGGAUGUGAUAAAUCAAACACCAUAAAUUCUAAAGGGUAACAUGUCUAGUGCUUUUUCUCCUAAAAUUAUAGUAGUGUAGCCAUACAUGGAUGUGGAGGGGAUUCUUUAAAACAUAUUGAAACCACAUAUAGUGCAGAAGGUUACAAUUGAAUUUGACGGGCGUUGACAACAAGUGCGGAAGCAGAUGAUGGCAAUCUCGGGGACCAGCAAAGAUUCUCGUAUGAAAGAUGAUGUGACCGUGAUAGAGAUUUUUGUGUGAACUCAACAUUUUCUCAAAUGCAGUGGAUUGAACUUGAUUUGAAGAACUUAGUAAACAACUUCUUCCCAGAAUGUACUUGAAAAAAAUGUAUAAAAUCAGAAACCAGAUCCUUCAAUCUAUCACCGACAUACAGUAGCAAGCAUUAAGCCAAUUCAUGCCCAUGAAGAUUGGCAAAAAGAAAGAAAAGAAAAAAAGGCUCACAAUUUUUCAAGGUUAGAACCCUCAGCAGCAUUUCAUUCAGAAACUAACACAAGGACGCUGACCGAAUUGUAUCAUAGGGGUUUCAUGAUGUCUCGAAAAUGAAAACAGUUUCAACAGCAUACCGGGAGAACCCUAUAUAUCAUAUAAAAGUUUUUGAUAUCAAACCACUAGCCCUGACAGAGAACCUGUUACAGUUACUGACAACAUGCAUGCAUUCCUUUUAGAACCAGCGAAAAACACCAUCAAUCAUUAUAACCGUAUUUCUCAAGAAAAGAACUAAUUAUUAACAUGUAAGCAGAAAAACCAUAUUACUGGCUCAUUUUUAAAUUUAAUGAAGUCUUAAAACUAUGAAUAUCUUCGCUCACAGGACACAUGCUGCUGCAGUGUUUCUUUUUCCUUUUCUUUUUGAACUCUGUCUACCCCCUUUUCCCAUAGCUGUGAUGGAAACAACUAUUCGCUUUUGUUGGCACACAAGGCGAGAAUGAUAUGCAACUUCCACAUCUCAACUAUUCUUUAAUACAGAGUUAAAAAAUUAAUGGAACGCACUUAUAAAGAUGACUAUUCCUUGGAAGGUUUUUCUUAGUUCUACUUUUAGCUUCUAAUAACAAUGAUAAAAAAAAUUAAAAAAAAAGAUAAAAAUAAAUAAAUCAGUUCCUUUUUCUCCACUAAAUAGGAGGAGGCUUUUUAUCUCUAUACAGAACUGGAAGUGUGUCUACGAAGUACUUACUUCAGAAUCAAUCUCUCCGAGCUGGUUCCAUGUUGGUUGGCUCGCAUACUCAAUACCACUGUUCGAAGAAAUGGAUGACGAAGAGGACAGUGAGUCAGGAACCAAGUUGGAUGACGGAGGUUGCCUCUGAGAUUGUACUCUGAAACUUUGGGCAGUAAUGUUAGGAGGGGGUGGUUGGGGAGGCUGAGGGGGAUGAUGUUGUUGCCUUUGACCCUCAUCGCUUAGUUUCCUUAGGAUGUUCAUCACAGUAGGAAGAAAUCUUGCUGAGAGUGAAAGAAGUCCAGAUAGCUGCAGAAUUUAUCAAGAAAAGAUACUUGUCGUAAACAAAACAAGAAAAAAAUUGCUACCAUAUACUUCUUGAGUAAGUAGUUGGUGUUCACUAGCCUCAGCCGCCAGGAAAAUUUAUGCAAGAUGGUACUGGAACAAGAAAUUUGCUAUUAAUAAUAACUAGAAAAUUGUUCUUAAGCUGUUCUAAAGUUUACAGACAACAUGGUGGUGAUCUCUCAUGUAGCCUAGUUCAUUUUCUUUAUGAAUGAAGCGGAUAGCAUGCUACCUUUUCCUCAAAAAAAAAAGAAAAAGGAGGUGAUCUCAUUAGAGUCAAGAUUAUCACCUGCCUACCUUUUCCUCAAAAAAAAAAAAAAAGAGGAGGUGCAGAUUAAUUGACGGUGAAUUAAGUUCCAUAUAUUCUUGUUAUUUUUAAGCAGAAGAAAAAUAGAGAUAACAAAUCAGAGACAUGUGUAUACCCACAGUCAAAUUAAGUGUCUCACCUCAUCCGAUUAGCACAAUUCUUUUGUAUACAUUAGUCAAAAAAGGGGUUUUCCCUAGGGCUGGCAAAUGAGCGAGCCGGCUCGUGUUCGACUCGCGUUCGACUCGAUAUUUGGUUCGCUCGAGCUCGACUCGAAAUUAAAUGAGCCGAGCAUGAGCAAAAAAAAAGGCUCGAAAUUCAUUUCAAGCCGAGCUUGAGUAUUACUCGACUCGUUCGAAUUAGGCUCGAAAAGCUCGAAAAGCUCUAAUAUAUAUAUAUAUAUAUAUAUAUAUAUAUAUAUAUCACCUCUUGCUUAAGCAAAAAGCUAGCUCCAAUUGGACCAAACAGAUAAUUGGAAUCAUACAUACAUACAUACCAUUGAGACCAUGUCCAUAAGUGCUUUUGCCAGGAGCUCCCACAUGUAGCAAUCAAUCAGGGGUGAGGGAUUGGAGCUUCUCCUCCCCAUGAAUGUCAACACCAUGUGGCCACCCCCCACCACCUCUUCCCCCCUGCACUCGAGGAACAAGGAGAAGUCCCUCUUGAAUUGCUUCUUGUAUGCUUCCAACACACAUGGUGGGCUAGUGCUUGAUAUGUAGAUCUUUCCCUUGUUGUUGAGGGGAACUUCGCUCCCAUCAUCUAGUAACAUUUGAGGCACCUGGAAAAGAGAUGAUGAGCUCUGUAUCAAAUAGGGCCGACAAUCCAGCUCGCUGUUCAUGAUAAGCCAGUAAGAAACAUGUUAGAGAUCGAUCACUCGUUUAGUCAGUAAGUCGAACACGAGCUCGAAAUUUCAAUGAGUUGGGGUCUGCUAACUCAUGUUAGGCUUGAUAUAGCUCGAGUAUAAAUAUAAAUAGGAUUAAUUUCAUACGGGUUCCUACAAAUAUAGUGAAUGACAAAUAUAUUCCUAUAAAAGUCAACUUAAUUUCAUAUGUUAUUUUUAUAAAAAUUCCAAUAUUUUCAAAUAUAUCCCUCUGGUUUGAUUAGAGAGCCGUUAGAGAACCGUUUAUAUUUUCAAUUUUGCCAUCAUAAAUAUGUCCCUCCAAAAGUCAUAACAGUAUAAUAUAAGAAGGGUAAAAAUAUUAAAAACUAACUAGGAUUCAGGGCGUGUUUGGUUCACUUCUUUUUCACCCCGGAAUCGGAAUCGGAAUGGGUGAAUCCGUUUGUGGGUGUUUAGUACGCGGAAGUCCCAUUCCGAUUCCGAUUCCCAAGUGGAAUAGAAAACCCCCAAUCAUCCAUUUUUUCAAUCCGGCCUAGGAGGCCGGAUUGGAAGUUGAAUCCGGAUGGAAUGGAUAUUUAUUCGUAUUAAAUUUAUUUUUUUAACUUUUUUAAUUAAAAUAUGAGUUUAAAAUUUAGAAAUUAAAUUUUUAAUUUGAACUUGAAUUAAAAAUUAAAAUUUAAUCAAGUAUUUCAAAUCUAACUUAUGAAUUUGAAUUUAAAUUAAAUUUUAAUUUAUAUAAAGUUUUAUUCAAAUUUUAUUUAAAACUUAAAUUAAAUUUAUGGAUUCAAAUUAAAAUUUAAAUUGUAAUUUUAAGUUUGAAUUUAAAUAAAUGAAAAUUUAGUUUCAUUAUUUCGAAUUAUCCACUCAACUUCAAAGUUUAAUUUUUUUAAAAAAAUGGAUUUAAAAUUUUGACAUCAUUUUAAAAUUUUGGUGUAAAAUUUUAAUAUUUAAUUUUUAAUUUGAAUUUAAAUUAAUAUAUUAUAAAGAUAAAGUUAAUAUAUUAAUCUGAUUACGUUUUUUAUAUUUACUUGAACCAAACACCGACGAUUCUGAUUCUGAUUUAGGUGAUGAACCAAACAGAAUUAGGUAAUGAGUCAUUCCGAUUCCGAUUCCAGCUUAUUUCGAUUCCGAUUCUGAUUCCGAUCCCGACUUCGAACCAAACACGCCCUAAGUAUUUACCCUACGGUUAGCUAAAUUUUCUAACAGAUUCUAACGGCAGAGACAUAUUUAACAAUAUCAGGACUUUUGCAGAAAUAACGUAUGAAAGUUAAACUUUAUAGGAGUAUAUUUGCUAUUUAUUAUAUUUGUCGCGACUUGAAUAAAAUUAACCCAUAUAACUAUUACAAAUUUUUAUUAUUUAGGUUUUAGGCCAAUCAAGAUGCAAAGAGACCUAUAUUUUUGCGAUUAUUAGAUGGCUGAACACGUGCUCUUUAUUGUGAUCAACUGAUUAGCUUUUGCCGGCAGCACUAUGAAAAAAUUGUUGAUUUAGAGUCCUGACCGACUGACUGGACGUGCCAGCCAGGUAAGAGCUUGCCCCUCUGAAUUAAUGUGUUGCUGUCGCAAAAGAGACUUCCAGCCACUAGCUACAGUUCUUGCCCUGUAGUUGUAACAAUGACUACGAUAACAACACCAAUACUAGAUUCAUCCGUUGUCACUGUUAGACAUUAUGAAUAUUGUUUCGAUUCGUCAGCCUAAUCUAAUAUGAUAACAUGCUUCUGCCAGCUAGGCUUCGAACUUGAGAUCUGUAUGAGCGAGAAUAGUCAAACGGAAUUUUUUUUUCCCCUUCAAAGUGGGAAGCUCGUUGGAGCGUAUGCCGGCUGUCAUGAACUACCAAGUUGAUCUGUCAUACAUCGAUCUCCUUUUCUUAUUUCAGAUAUCUGGAACUAGCACCGACCGUCCCUAGAGCAAGUGGCAAAGGGCUUGAUGGUUGGUACCCGAGAUCCAAGUUUGAAUCCUAGUUGAUUCACAUUUCAAGCUAUGUUUAUUUAUAAAUAAAAUAAACGAAGCGGGUAGCGUGCUACCUAUCUCAAAAAAAAAAAAAGAUUUCUGCAACUAGCUAGUAAUCAGCUAGCAAUCUGGUAAUAUAUAAAGAUAAUAUGUUAUAUAUUAUAAUACAUUAUUUUUAUUAUAAAAUUAUUAAUCGUACUAUAUUAAGAUAUAUUAUUUAUAUUUAAAUAUUAUAAUAAAUUUUAUAAUAAAUUAUAUAUAAAUAUUAUAAUAAAUUCUUUUUAUUAAAUUUAAGUUUAAGUAGAAUUUUUAAAAAANUUUUUAUUAAAUUUAAGUUUAAGUAGAAUUUUAAAAAAAUUUAUAAAUUUAUUGUAAUAAAUUAUUUUUAUUAAUUGCUCCCAUGCCUAUUCUUAUUUAAAAAUUUAAAAAUUUAAAAAUUUAAAUUUUUAAAAUUUAUAAUUUAUAAUCUCAAAAUAAAAGUUUGUAAUUUUAAAUUUUAAAAUUUAAAAUUUAAAUUUAAAUUUUGAUAUUUUAUAUUUUUGAAAUUUACAUUUUGAUAUUUUAUAUUUUUGAAAUUUAAAUUUGAUCUUAAAUUUAAAGUUUGAAAUUUAAAAUUAAAAAUUUUGUAUUUAAAAUUUGAGAUUUUAAAUUUAAAAUUUUAAUUUCAAAUUUUGAAAUUUCAAAGUUAAAAUUUUAAAUUUAAAAGUAUAAAUUUAAAAUUUUAAAAAUUCAAAAUCUAAUAUAAUAAGAGGAUAAUAUCCUUAUUUUUAUUUAUAAAAAUUCACUAUCCUUCUAAAUUCUUAUUCCACUUUAUCUAACCAAACGCUAUUUUUUUUAUUCUCAGAUAUAACCUAAUUUUCAUCCAAACACAAAAUUGGUUUAAUCCCGCUUAUACCUCAAUUUAUACAUAUCCCUGGAAUAGCCACUUUUUGCUUAUUCCCGAACCAAAUGAUAUCUUAAAAACUAUCUUUAAAAGUAAUUGUAUUUUUAACUAUAUGCAUAUCUGACUACGGUGCAUUCAUAAUUACGUCGAAUUAAACGGCCUCUAAAAAUUACCUUCUGUACCCUAGAGGAUCUACGCAUGCAUAAAAGAGAGAGGGAUAAGUUGUGUGAACCUGGGAGAGCCAAUGAAGGCUGGAGGAAGAGUACACAAAAUGCAAGCUCUUGCUCAGAAACAACCUCCCAUAGAAAGAUCCAGCAACCACUGAUAUGAAGCAGUGCACUUUUUGCUGCUCACUCUCUUGUAACUUCACUUCUCUAAGCCUGUAAAACUCAGGCAGCAAGUCAAACAUGGUGUUGAAGUCGUUUCCCGGGAGGUCGUUGAGGAAGACUUGGAUCUCCGGUGGCCUGCGGUUGAACUGACGGCUCGCUUGUGCGAUCGCCUCCACGAUUUCGGAGGCCAUCUGUAGUGCAUUCGGACCUACUGAGCAGCCUAGGUCGGCGACGGUCAUCUGCGUAGGGAAACCCGUCGCUUGCAACGAGCUGACGGCUGCCUCCUGUCUCGCGGUGUUCGUCGAAUUUAGUAUGAUCUUCUGCUUAAAAGGAAUUUAGUAUUUGUCAGUUAGCGAGAGAAGUGAGUUUCCACAUUUGUUUGGUUUGGCUUUUGGAACUGCUUCUUCAGAACUUUUGAGAUAUACGCAUGCAGAAAAAAUCUUUUCUUAAUCUCUAAAACAAAAUAAAACACAAAACAUGUAUGUAUGUAGUUAAAUUGGUUGAAGUAAAAGGCCAACAAUAAGCUUUUCAACAAUUUUUGGCGAGGAAGAAACGUAACGAGAACUUUUCAAUAAUUUUUUUUUAGAAAAGUAACUCUACGCAAGCUCCAGCCGGACCAAACAAGCACGAUGGAUAUACAUAUACAUAUGCUUAUAUAAAAGGAUGUGGCUAGAUCCAAACUUGGAUGGUAGAAUUUUUGGCAUAGCUCAUGUCAUCAACUCCACUGUUCAUGUGUAGAACACUUUGCACCUCCAUGGAGCUAGUAGCUAUAGCUACAAAGAGUAAAUAGUUGUAGAGAAAGNAGCUAUAUGGAGCACCUUGAUGAAACAAGUUAGGCUUUUAUAGAGUUCAUGGUUUAUACUAUAUAUAUGCUUUAUAUUGGUUUUGCACAUGAAGUGUUAAAUAUUGUUUGUAGUUUUGGCAUAUUAAUUAGUUGGGGUGUCCAUUUUUGUCUAUAUAACAUCACAUGUGGAGAAUCUAAAAUGUGGACCUGCUACAAGAGAGCAAGUACGAGAAGCUUUGAUAGUUUGGUUAUUCCUUUAAUUGGCCGCCAUUGGUUCAGAGAUAGCGAAUAUUAUGAUAAAUUUUUUUACUGCUGAAAUAGUUUGCUAUUUUGGGAUAGUCAGAAAUAAAAUUAUGUUUAGAUUGUAACGCUGGUAUUUUUAGGAAUAAUUAAAAUUGUAUUUGGUUAAUUUUACGGAAUAGUAGAGAACAGUAGAAAACAAUAAUCGUUGCAUUUGAUAUAAAAUAUAAUUUUAAUAAAAAUAACUCAUUAUAAUAUUGAAUAAAACUAAUUUAUUAAAAAAUUAUGAUUUAAUAAAAAUAAUUUUUAUAUAUAUAAUUUUUAAAAAAUUCUACUUAAACUUAAAUUUAAUAAAAAAUAAUGUAUUAUAAUAUUUAAAUAUAAAUAAUAUGUAGCAAUAUAGUAUAAUUAAUAAUUUUAUAAUAAAAAUAAUAUAUUAUUAAUUAUAAUAUAUAGCAUAUUAUAUAUAUCUAUAUAAUUUAGUUUUAAUUCAAUUUAUAAUUUAAAUAAAGUUUGAAAUUAAAGCUUGGAAUAGCACUCUUCCGCCAAAAUGGUAGAAUUGCAAAUCCCAAACUAUUCCGGAAUAGCUGGGAAUAGUAAGGUUUGACUGGGAUAAAAUAUUCCGGCCAAAAAACAUCUCGUUUGGCGGAAUAGUGGGGAUAACUUUCGUUAUCUCAACUUUAUCCCCAAACCAAACUGGACAGUCAUUCUAGAAAUUAUAGUUAAGUGUUGUGUUGGCUUAAAUGGGCCAGCAUUCUGUCAUGUGGCGGAGGGCCGGGUUGGGCCGAGUCACGUUCGAAAUGACGUGAUGCUGGAUAGGCCGAGUUAUAUAUGUUUGAAGUGGCAUGAGGCCGGGUGAGCUAAGUCACAAUUAAGAUCUGUGAGCGCUGUAUCUGUACGCUUUAAGUGAAUUGGUUGCGUAUUUCUAACAGCUCGAGCUUUUUGAAUUAAUGGUCAGCGCCAACGAUCCGACAUGUUGGACAAAUUAUUUUUAUUGGGGCAGAAAGAUGAAUUACGCCUUUGGCGUAAAACCAGAAGCUGUAAUUUGCAGCUUUUUAAUGUUAUAGUAUAUUAUAUCGAACAAUCUGAUAUGUACGCUAGUAUCAUCGUCUACUGAUCUAUACAAUAAUACAAACAAUCUAAUGCUCACAGACGUCUGCUCGUGAGAUCGAGGUUAUGUGUGGACAGAAGGGCCAGAAAAUCUUGUGGUGAGAAUGAUAUGUUAGCGAUGUUUCGAGAACAAUUCUUGCCCACACUAAACAUCUGCGGAAACUACUCUAGCCGGCCGUAAAAAUAGACUCUUCCAAAAAAAAAAAAAAAAAAAAAAAAAAAAAAAAAAAAAAAAAAACGCCAUGCUCAAGGACUUCAAUCAAUCUGGUCCACAGAUGACAUGGUACAACCGGUUCGCUUACCAUUCCACAAUUUUUUUUUGAGAGAUAGGUAGCACGCUACCCGCUUUAUUUAUUUCAUUUAGAAAUAAACUUAGCUAGAAAUGUGAAUCAACUAGGAUUCGAACUUGGGUCUCGGGUACCAACCACCAUGCACCUUGCCACUUGCUCUAGGGAUGGUCGGUACUAUUACAUGAUUAAAUUAUAUAUAUAUAUAUAUAUAUAUAUAUAUAUAUAUAUAUAUUUUAAUUGAAACCAAAAUAAAAAGGUGUAGGNCGUGUUACCAAAUUAUUUUUAAUGAUGCGAUUUUCAAAUCGACGAUCGGCUCCGUUAGACUUGAUCUAUACUAUUAAAAGUAUUUGGAAGCUAAAUUUUAUAAUUUUUCGGUAUUAUCUACCUAUCAAACGAAUGGUCUAAAAAUGAACGGUUGAAAAUAAAAAUUUCAUAAAAAAUGAUAAUAAAAGACUUGAAUUUAAAAUCAGAGAUACUGAACUUACUCUAAAUAGUGAAAAGAACUUUUUAUAAAAAUCUCAUUAGAUUUGAAUUAUUUUACACCGUUAAAUUCACAAACGCAUCACAUCUAUUAUUAAAAUUGUCAAUUUUCAGACCUUUUGAUCACUAACCAAAUGAUAUGGAAAACUAAUGAAAUUUAGUUUCCAAAUACUUUUAAUAGUAUAGAUUAAGUCUAACGGAGCCGAUCGUCGAUUUGUAAGCCGCAUGAUUGAAAAUAAUUUGAUAGUAUGGAGGCCUCCAUGCUACCGAUAGUAUACCAGCCUAGCUCUAUAUAUAUAGGCUAAAUUACAGAAAACCCCCCUGUCAAAACCCGAUUUUUCACUUUCCCCCCUGUCAUUUAAAAACCUACACUUUGCCCCCUUGUAAAAUAAAAAAUGUGUACUUCACCCCCUACCGUUAGAGUUCCGUUAUAAAAUUUUUUUUUAUGCCAAAAAUACUCCUCCGCCCUUUCUCUGUUGCUUCGCCUCCUUUCGGCUCAUCGCCUUGCCGCCGCCUCGCCCUCCUCCACUGCCUUGCCCUCGCCCUCGCUCUCGCCCACAUCCCCUUCGCCCUCCUCCGCCAUCUCGCCUUCGCCUUCGUUGCCCUUGUCUACCUCUCUCCAUCAAUGCUCAUCUCGAUUUCCUCCCUACUGUUGCCGAAAUCGAGAGGCGGCGAGGGUGCAGGAGGAGAAGGGGAACAGAUGGAGAAGGAAAUAGAGAGAAAUUGCGACCGAUUGAGGUGUGAAUCGCGGCCGAUCGAGGCGGCGGUUGAGAAAGAUGAUGGAGGAGACAAAAAUGGUGAGGAGCAAAAUAGUCAUUUUACACACCAUACCUUCUGUGAACAUUUUUUAUUUUAUAAGGAGACAAAGUGUAGGUUUUUAAAUGACAGGGAAAAAAGUNGAUUUCAAUAUUUAGUAGAGAUUUAAUAGAUUGAUCAUAACCGUUCGUUCUUAUUUGAGAUAUAUUUAACAAAAAAAUCAUAAUCAUUCGUAAGGAAUAUUUUUUUAUUCCUUUUUGGAUUUCGUCUGUCAUUGUCGGAAUUCUUAUACACUUUUAUAUAUAUAGUAUAGAUAUAGAUAUAGAUAUAGAUGAUCAUAACCGUUCGUUCUUAUUUAAGAUUUUUUUAACAAAAAAAUCAUAAUCAUUCGUUAUGAUCAUAACUAUUCGUUCUUAUUUGAGAUUUUUUUAACAAAAAAAUCAUAAUCAUUCGUAAGGAAUAUUUUUUUAUUUCUUUUUGGAUUCCGUCUGUCAUUGUCGGAAUUUUUAUACGCUUUUAUAUAUAGUAUAGAUAUAGAUAUAUAUAUAUAUAGAGAGAGAGAGAGAGAGAGAGCUAGGCUGGUAUACUAUAGGUAGUACGGAGGCCACCGUGUUACCAAAUUAUUUUUAAUGAUGCGGCUUCCAAAUCGACGAUCGGCUCAGUUAGACUUGAUCUAGACUAUUGAAAGUAUUUGGAAACUAAAUUUUGUAAUUUUUCGGUAUCAUCUAGCUAUCAAACGAAUGGUCUAAAAAUGAAUGGCUGAAAAUAAAAACAUAAAAAAUGAUGAUAAAAGAUUUGAAUUUAAAAUCAGAGGUACUGAUCUUAUUCUAAAUAGUGAAAAGAGCUUUUUAUAAAAAUCUCAUUAGAUUUGAAUUAUUUUACACCGUUAAAUUCACAAACGCAUCACAUCUAUUAUUAAAAUUGUCAAUUUUNAAAAUCUCAUUAGAUUUGAAUUAUUUUACACCGUUAAAUUCACAAACGCAUCACAUCUAUUAUUAAAAUUGUCAAUUUUGAGACCCUUUGAUCACUAACCAAAGGAUAUGGAAAACUAAUGAAAUUUAGUUUAUAAAUACUUUUAAUAGUAUAGAUUAAGUCUAACGGAGCUGAUCGUCGAUUUGUAAGCCGCAUGAUUGAAAAUAAUUUGAUAGUACGGAGGCCUCCAUGCUACCGAUAGUAUACCAGCCUAGCUCUAUAUAUAGGCUAAAUUACAAAAAAACCCGCCUAAAACCUGAUUUUUCACUUUUCCCCCCUGUCAUUUAAAAACCUACACUUUGCUCCCUUGUAAAAUAAAAAAUGUGCACUUCACCCCCUACCGUUAGGGUUCCGUUAUAAAAUAUUUUUUUAUGCCAAAAAUACUCCUCCGCUCUUUCGCUGUUGCUUCGCCUCCCUUCGGCUCGCCGCCUUGCCGCCGCCUCGCCCUCCUCCACUGCCUUGCCCUCGCCCUCGCCCUCGCCCACAUCCCCUUCGCCCUCCUUCGCCAUCUCGUCUUCGCCCUCGUUGCCCUUGUCUACCUCUUUCCAUCAACGCCCAUCUCGAUUUUCUCCCUACUGUUGCCGAAGUCGAGGGGCGGUGAGGGUGCAGGAGGAGAAGGGGAACAUGUGGUGAAGGAAAUAGAGAGAAAUCGCGGCCAAUUGAGGUGUGAAUCGCGGCCGAUUGAGACGGCGGUUGAGAAAGAUAAUGGAGGAGACGAAAAUGGUGAGGAGCAAAAUAGUCAUUUUACACACCAUACCCCCUGUGAACAUUUUUCAUUUUAUAAGAGGGCAAAGUGUAGGUUUUUAAAUGACAGGAAAAAAAGUGAAAAAUCAAAUUUUGACAGAGAAUUUUAUGUAAUUUAGCCAUAUAUAUAUAUUAAGAAAUCAAAUUAUCAAACAUGAUAAACGUGUGGGGGACUUUGAGAGAUAGUUGUAGCGUGUAGGGAGUGUUAAAUUACUAAACAUGGUAACAUUUAAGAGCUCCUUAAGUACAUUGCUUCGUACAUUGACCAUUCGUUCCAUUCUAUGAAGUGAAAUUGAGGUACAACACAAUAAAUCAUAAUAUGGUUUGAAGCAUGUGCUUAAUUCAAUUACUUAGCUUGAAUACAACGCCUUCGUAUUGAUCUAUCUAUCUAUCUAUUUAUCUAUCUAUCCAUACGUUGCACACGCUACGUGAAAAGCACCCUUGUAAACACCUUUUUCAUAAAUUUUGUAUUUUUUUUCAAAUUUUUUUUAUAUAUGUUGCGUAUAUAAUAUGUUCAAAGGGUAUCUGGAUAUAGUGUCACGUGAUUAAUUAAUUGAUUGAUCAACUAUACCUUAAUUUUCAUGAUUUGUGUCGCAUAUGUUCCACAAGCCAAUGUUGAAUUGUGCACUAUUGAGAGAGAGAGAGAGAGAGUAUAGUUCAAUAUUUCAAUAUGUUUGAAUCACACAAUAUUUGAAAUUUAAGUUCUUCUUGAGCUUCUCAUGUUGGUCUUCAUUCUCAUUUAUUUUUUUGAGAAAAAGUAUAAUUCGCACGAACAUGUACCAUGCGUUCAUUGACAUCGAUCGCAUCUUAUAUUUAAAUAUUCAGAUUAUUUCUAUUUUCAUUUUCUAUUACACUUUUUAUAUAUUGAUAACUUUUUUGUUAAAACAAUCAGGUGUCAUGCACUUGUGUUUUGGAUCAUCAUUUUUCUACCAUUGGAAACUCACCAAAAACAAUCAAAAAUACGCUCCAAAGAGUCACAUGUUCUUUUUAUUGAUUUUCGUAAGACAUUUUCGAUGCACGAGCGCGACACGUAACUGUUUUAUAAAAAAAUAAAAAAAAUCUUAACUGUUGAUUAAUGAACGUUAAAAAUAUCAUUUCAUUAUGUAGCAGGUUAAAAAGUUAUUUCAUGCAAGAGUAUUUCUGUAAUUAAAUUACACAAAAUUUUAAGAAAGUUUUGAUUAAUAUCCCAAAUUUAGCAUUAAUUUUGCAACUAAUUUAAGCAUUAAUUUAAAAUUUUAUUGAUAUCCCAAAUUUUAGGCAUUAAUUUUAAGAAUUUUAGAAUUUCUCUAAUAUAGGUAUUAAUUUAAAUUUUAGAAAUUUUAGAAAUAAUAAUAAAUAUGUUGAGUUUAAAUAUUUAAAUUUAAAUUUAAAUAAGAGAAAUUUUGUGUUACUAUUUUAACAAAUUUAAUGUUUUUUUUUUUUUUUUUUGAGAGAUAGUUUGCACGCUACCCGCUUCGUUUAUUUUUUUUAGAAAUAAACUUAGCUGGAAAUGUGAAUCAACUAGGAUUCGAACAUAGGUCUCAGGUACCAACCAGCAAGCCCUUUGCCACUUGCUCUAGGGACGGUCGGUUUAACAAAUUUAAUGUUGCUAAUAACGAAUUCAACAUAUUUAAUUUGUUUAAGAAAUUUUUAAAUUCCUCUAGUUUAGAUAUUAAUUUUUUAUUACAAACUUUAAAAAAUUUUGAAAUGUAGGAAAAAAGAAUUUAAAAUCCAAUGUAUUUAAUAUGUCGUAAUAUUUUUUAAUGAAAUAUCUAUGGAUUACGGAUAUGAAAUGACAAAAUAUUUGUGGAUUACACAUGUCAAAGGGUACAGAUAUCCAUAAUUUUAUCUAAAUUUGAAUCUAAACCCGAAUCCUACCCGUUUACAUUUUUACUGUGGAUAAAGAGGAAAGAUAGAGAGAGAAAAAGAAAACAAAGAGAGAAUAGAGAUUUGAUUUUUUACGGUGAAAAUAAGAUUAUUAAAUUAUCCAUAUAUUAAAAAAUCAAAAUAACUUUUUUGGAGUAUCUGGUAACUGGUGUUUCUCUCAAAGUGACUUGCUAUUGCAGGUCACAAUUUAAAAAAAAUUAAAUGUGAGUUGUUGAAUAGAAAUAAAUGAACGGUAUCAAAAGAUAACAAAACUAGAAGCAUUACUCCAUUGUGGACUAUUGAGAAAGAAAGAGACAUUUCACUGCUGGGAACUCGCCAAAAAUAAUCAAAAUUAAGCUCUAAAGAGUCACAUGAGUUUUUUUAAUCAAUUUUUGUAAGACAUUUUCGACACAUGAGCACGGCACGUGACUAUUUUAAUAAAAAAGUUAACGGAAGGUAUAACGAAAAAUAAAAAUAGAAAUCAUAGAUAAGUACUUAACUGAUAAAGUUAAAUUAAAAUACAUGGUAUUAAAAUGAACAAGUAGUAAGCCAAAGGAGAGUAUCAUAUUUUAUAUUUAGUGCUUUGGAGAAAUAAAUUUGAAAAUUUUGUAGGAUACAUAUGAAGAAAAUUUGAAAAUUUUUGGGUAAUUUACAAGAAAAAAACCCUUACGUUUAGGCUCUUAUCUUAAUUACUGUUCAGUAUUGAAAAUUGCAUUAGUUACUCCCAUGUAAUUAACUGUUGUUUCAAAUAGGCCAAAAAAUUUAGGAUAUUGUUGAAUUCAGCUUUAUAUUUUGUAGAAACAAAUUUACAAAUGAAGUAAGUUAUAAUUAAUACAAUACAAAUAUAUAGAUUGAAUAAAAUCCCUUAAUAAACUAUCAAUUUCCAUAGUGUUAGCAUGAAUUAAAAGAUUUCUUUUAUCUAAUUAUUUAUUUAUUUUUUUGAAUUACAAAUUAGAUAAAUAUCGAGAUGUGGAACGAAGUAAUGUAUCAACUCAUUUUCGUGACAUUUUAUAAUCUAAUUUACUGAUAAUUAAUCUCAAUUUUGAAAUCUACUUAAAAUGGUUAUAAAGUGCAGCAAAGUGAUUAAUGUAAUUUUGAAUGCAGAAGAUAAAUAACACACGGACUACAAUAUAAGGAGGCUUUUGUGUUUAAGUUUUUUAUUUUUUUGGAGUAAACUUUAAAUUACCCCACUCUCUGAUUUAGCUUAUUUUUCAUUCUGUCACACUGUAAUUUUAAAAGUUAUACUUUGUCUUUCUGUGAUUUAGCAUAUAUUUUUUAUUUUGCCAUCCUAUGAUUAAAUUUUUUUACUUUGUCAUCAUAUUUCAUAUAAAAUUUUUGAUAAAAUAAAAUCACAAAAAGUAAGUGAAACUUUUUAAAUUAAAAAUAAGCUAAAUUAUAUGGUGCAAUUUGAAGUUUACCUCCUUCUUUUUUUCUUUUUUUUUUUUUUUUUUUGCGCUUGUAAUGUAAUUUCCAUUUUGUCCCUCGAUCUUUUAUACUGCGUACGUACGUCGUAGAGGUAAAAAUCUCUCCCCUCUCCUUUACCCGCCGCCGAUCUCCGAUCUCCGAUCCGGCGCCGAUCGGGGAUUAGGGUUUCGGCCGAGUCCCCCUUCUUCUACUUCCCCUUCGCCCCAAUUCGUUUCCAACAGUUUGAGGUAAAUCGAUAUCGGGCACCCAAUUUCGUGUCCAGUUGGUUUAAAUCCCAAAUUCGGUGUUUUUUUCUCUGAUUUUGAUGGUUUUAUGAUCGUUUAGAGGUAAAAAUAUCGAAUUUUGGUGGGGGAGAGAGAGAUGGAGAUGGUGCUUAGAGCGGAGGACGCGAAGGAUUGGGUGUAUAAAGGAGAAGGAGCCGCUAAUCUCAUCCUCAGCUACCGCGGAUCUUCGCCUUCGCUGGUGAUGUGUUGUAUUGAGCGCUUUUUUAUGUUAUUUGUGUUCGAUUUGCUAUGUUAAGUUUUUGUUUGAGUGUUGAGAUGAUACUGUAAUGCUUAAUUUUGUGGAAUGUGCUGUAUUUAUUAGUUGUUUUGUUUCGUAUAAUCCAGUUGUUGAGAAAAAUAGAAAAAGUGUGUGCAAUUAUGUUUGGUAGGAGUUGCAUCUCCCAACAUGAUCAAACAAGAUAUGAAAUUUUUUGGAACCUAAAGUAUAAAAUACCAUUCAUGGUAGCUUAAGCUCUUAGAGAACAAUGGUCGUUUCACAUUAUUUCACAUCGUAUCAGAAAAGGAGGUUUUGUCUUCGAAUUCUAUUCAGCCUCUAAUUAUUUAAUUAUCGAAUAUAAAAUAUAAAAACACCGUUCUCUAGUAGUUCAAGCUUUUGGAAAGCAAUAGUUGUUUUAUAUUAUUUUACAAAAUUACAGAGAGAGCUCAAAAUUGUUUCUCUAACCUGAAAAUGACACAAUGUGGCACUACAUGGCGUUGACUGGAAAUGAAUUAAAAUGUUGAGUAUUCGUAUUGCUGCUAUAGACUUUUAGAUGAUCUUCAAAUUGACCAUGCUGCCAGUGAAUUAGUUGGCCUGCUAGAUUUACUAUCUGUAUGGUUUACCUCUUACUGAAUUAUUAAUUUUUGGAAACUAGGAAUGUUUAACAGAUUGGUUAGAGAAACAAAUGUCGAGAUUAUAACAAUAGUCAGAUUUUUUUUUUUUAAUUAUUAUUAGGAAAAAACGAAAAGGAAUGUUACUGGAGACUUCUGCAUCAUAUAAUUUAUUAAAAAUUCUCAAUUUUGCUAUGUUAACUGAAUCUUCAUGAGUUGUAACUUCUUACUUAUAAACAUUGUUGUGAAAGUUUUCGGAUUCUACCCUUCAAGUUGCAUUUGUUAUCUGUAGAUUUUAAUUUAAGGGAGCAGAAAAAAGAAAAAAAAGGAAAAAAAAAAUCUUAUGUUGCUCUGUAUCUCUUAUCUCAAUUCUUCUCAUCAUCAUUUUGUCACUCAUAUUACUGGUAUUGACGCUUAUCCUUGUUAUGGUUCUUUUCUUUUCGAGAGCAGCUUGGAAAGGUUUUACGGAUUCAAAAGGUCCCAAAAGACAAAACUCAAUUUCCAAACACACGUGAUGUGCUUACGAGACAUGAACAACUUUUAUGGCGUGAUGCUGCCGAACUGGUGGAAUCCUCAUCAAGACAUAACCUGGCUCAAAGAUACGUGGUGCAUGUGAUGAGUCCUUUUCUAGGUGCAAAGCAUAUAGAUGUUGGGGUAAGGAAUCUUUUCUUUAAAUAUGUAGUGCCCUAUUUGAACUUUUUCUCUCUCUUAUCCUACCUGGUCUAAUGGAAGUUAUCCCUAAAGGUUGCUUUCUAAGAUUAUAUGUUGCUAUUUCUAACUAGAAAAUGGACUCAUGUUAAUACCUCUUAGUUUUUUACCAGUUGAAAAGAAAUUUAUGUGGGUGAUGGAAAACCAUUUUACUUGGAUUAGAUAGAAAGUUCAAACACGUGAAUGUGCACAACUAUUGGAGUCUUAAAGGAAAGAAAAAAAAAUUGCGCACCACUCUAGUAAGUCCCUCUAUGAUCCAAAAGCAAUCGUCCAUAUAUGGGGUUGCUGGAUUAUGGCAAUGUUAUCCGCAGAAUGAUUUGAAUCUUUUUAUUCAUGCUAUUCAGUUGUCCAAAUAAGCUCGCCAAAUUUUAUUAGUAUGAUUCAACAUCUUCUCAAUUUUGUACAUAUACAUGCUCUGUUGUUGAAAUAAUUAAUGACAUUAACUUCUACUUCUAAUGCAGAUUCGUGUCUCUGUGUCUAGGGAUUUCUUGGAGCUCGUCAAAGUGAAUAUCCGUAGCCAUCGUCCAAUUUUGCGGGUUGAUGUCUCUGAAGUAGAUAUUCUCAGUGAUUCUGCACUUGUUAUUUCUGACCAUUCAAUAUUUACUGGUAAAGUCUGACUCUGAAUCUGUAUCUUUGCCUUUUAAAGUCCUUACAUAAUGUGACCCAUAUUCUGAUAUCAUAUCUGUAAAAUAAUUUGCAUGUUUUUCUUUUUCUUUCCUUUUUUUUUUUUAUGUUCCAUAAUGAUUGCUGCUUCACCUCAGGCACCUCUGAUGAAAGCAUUUGCAUAGCAGUAGAAAUAAAGGUACAUUCAACAAGUAAAAUGUGUUCUUUACUUUGUUGUAAAUUUUGCUCUAUUCUUGGCGUUCAUUGUUGAUUCGUCUUCUGCUUUCAGCCCAAGUGUGGAUUUCUCCCGUCCUCAGAAUUCAUAGCCAAAGCUAAUUCCGUUAAGAAGCAUGUAACUCGAUAUAAGAUGCACCAACUCCUUAAACUUCAUCAUGGAGAGGUUUGUGGCUCUUAAUAGUAAAAUUUUAACUCAAUUUGUUCCAUAACUAAAGAGUAGAAGCCUCUUCUUUUUCCCGUGAUGUGCCAGUCACCUGUUUUGGUCUAUCAGUGAUCAUUGAAUGACUUUUGGGGCUUGUAUGGCCCGCUGAAGCUCUGCAGAAGUGCUUUAUUAGUAGAAUUGUUCAAAGAAGCACUAAAAGCUUUUUUUGGGGGUCAAAUUCCUACAAGAAUUUUCUGCUACAGCAGAAGCAGAAGCUUAAAACUGGUGCUUCUGCUUUUGAACCCAAAGGCUCAUUUUAGGGUGGUUUUGUUUCCCAAACACAUUGCUGCUGAUUCUAAAGUAGAGAAAUUACUCCAGGUUGCAGCUGAAAAGACAUUUUUUAGCUGCUUUCUGUUAAUAUCAAACUUGAUGAUCUUUUUUUCAGAUCUUGAAGGAGAGUGAGUACGACCCCCUUGAUCUCUUCUCUGGGUCAAAGGACAGAAUAUGUAAGGCCAUUGGUGCAUUAUUUUCAACUCCAGAGAACAAUUUCCGUGUAUUUUUAAACGGCUCACUCAUUUUUGGAUGUAUGGGACGUGAUAAUAUUCCAUCUCAUCAAGUAAACAAAACCUUUGAAGAUUUGAUCAAAGUCGGCGGGCUACAGCUAUCGAGCUUUCUUGAGCUUCUUGGGGAGGUGAUUUUCAAAUCCGGGAUACUAGAUCGGCUUCUAGCAACACAAAAGCUCGACGUUCUUGAUAUUGAAGGAGCGAUUCAUGCAUAUUAUAAUAUUGUUUCUCAGCCUUGCUCGGUGUGCAAAAGUAUAGCUGACGCUGAACUAUUGGAUCGGUAUUCUUUUCUGCAUUCUCUUCCAAUGGAGAAGAGCCUGAAGAUUGUUAGAGAGUUUCUUGUAGCUGCCACUGCAAAGGACUGUAGCCUAAUUAUCAGCUUUAGACCUAGAGAGAGUGGAAUUACGUCUUCAGAUUAUAGUUCAAUAUGUCUUAAAUCGUUGAACCGAAUAUAUUAUUACAAGGUACCAUUCCAACUUUAGUUUGCAACAUUAUUUGGUCUUUCUGUAGUACUCGAAAAUGCAUUAGGCUUAGCCUUUUGCUAUUGAAGGUUGAACUUCACGCCCUUGCAUGCAUAUAAAGUGCAUUAUAUGUCCUUUUAUGUGUCUUAGUGCUAUGUUGUCGGUGUCAAAAUAUCAAUGAUGCUCUGUUAGUUACCUGAUUAUUGUUGAUAUCAUGCUAUUUUUCUCUCCUUUUUUCUUUAAUGCAGGCGCAUUUCAUUGACCUGGAUAUGAAACCUCUGGAGAAGAUGGUCUAUUACUAUGAGAAGGAUCAGAAGAUUGUUAAUUUCUAUAAAAGAAAUGUGGAGACCGAACAAAGUUCAUGCAAUUCCAAAAAUGGUGUUAAUUGUUACAGGAAGAAACACUUUCAUCAAUGAAAGUUUCUUUUGUAGUCAGUUUACUGUCUUUUUGAUCUUUCACAUAGAAAGAUUCUGUAAAUGGACUCUCUUAUCUUUAUUCAGUUACUUUGAAAUAUAGUUAGAAUUUAGAUCCAAUUUCAGCUGUAUCCUCAGAGUUUCAUUUUAGUGACUUAAAAGUUUGUUUGGCAUAACAAUUUAGUCCUUGGUAGUCUAUCUUCUGAAAGAGAUGCACUAUCAGCAUGAUUCUUUGGUUUUGCCAAUCUGGCUGCUUUUUGAAGCAGUUCUAUACUAAUAAUGCAUUUAAACAGUUGUAAUGCAAUACAAACUUCAAUGAUUAAAUUGUCAAAACUGAAAUUUUGUGGAUUUAGAUGGUCUAUAGAUAGAGGGAUAUAGUAGUUUUCUGAUACAAACUUCAAUGAUUAAGUUGUCAGAAUUAAAACUGUUUGGAUAUUGAACAAACUUUGAGUAAAUUAUUAACUAACCGCUCUCUAAUAUAUGUGGAUGUUGGAUAAUGCUACUUGUUUCAUUGCGUGCUUUGGAUGCUUGACCAUCUUUGAGGCCAAGAUGGAUAUACAUAAGCACUUUCCACAAUGCUACUUUGCUAUCAGCACAGCCGAUCCAACUCUAGCCACAUCAAGGUACUACUGGAAAGUGCAAACUUGCGGUUUGAUGGUUCUAUGUUGUUUUGAGAUAUUAAUAAUUUCUAUGUAUGUAUCAAAAAUGCAGAAUUUAACUGUGAAUCCUGCUGAAGAAGAUGACAAGCCUCUUUACCAGCUAAGUUGAAUGAUAGUUGUUGCAGCAGGAGAAAACAUGUUUACCGACAAUUAAUGAUGGAGGAAUAUCUUUUUCUGAUAUUUCAAAGGUAUGCUAACCUGGUUUUAUUUUGUAAUUUUCUGACUUUGCUAUCAGUACUUGGAAUAUCAUUCCUAUUGCAAAACUAACAUGAUUUGUGUUUCCUCUCAACAAGCGACUGCAAUUUGAGCAUGCUAAAGUUCAAUUGUUGGUCUGUAUAUGUUCUCUGUCUUGGUUUUAUAGCUUAGAAAAUUUUCUUUAUAAAUAAAGCGCUACCUUUUCCUUAAAAGAAAAAGGAAAAAAAACAAUUAGCUGCAUCCUAAACCCAACAAACUUACCGAACAUCAUCUGAGAGAGUUGCUAGCUAGGGGAGGUAGUAUUUAUUGUCAAUGUUUCCUAGGUCAAGUCAAUAAGAUAGUAUAGAUUAGUAUUGGUAUUAAUGGUCGACAUGUGCUAUUUCAUAGUACCUAAUUAGCAAAGAUUAUACAUGUGCACAGAUAAUGAAAAGGAGGUAGUUGAGUCAAUUAUUAUUAUUAUUAGGGUAAGUUGCACCUUUGGUCCUCAAACUAUGAGUCGGGCGACACUUUGGUCCUCAAACUUUAAUUCACUUUAAUCUGUGGCUCGAACUUUCAGAAUUAUUACAAUCAAGUCCCAAACCCAAUUUAGUUUACUACAUAUUGACAUAUUGUUAAUGUAGAAGUGAUAUACAGUUUUGUGAUUGAUGAUGCGCCAGUAAUUACGAUGUUAUUUCACUUUUACAUCAACAAUACGUUAACAUUUAGUUAAUUAAAUUAUAUUGUGGAACUCUGAUUGUAAUAUUCGAAAAGUUACGAUCCAUAAAUUACAACAAAUUUAAAUAAUAUCAAAUUUUAUAACUUUAUUAAUUACUUAUUUUUAAUUGGUCUAGUUUUAUUUGCUAAAAGUGAUUGCAGUCAUUUUAUUUGAUGAAAUGACCAAGAUAUUUCACAAAUUCUCAAUUAUUUUUUUUACUUGAUAAAACUGUGUAUUUAUUGCCAAUUAAUAACUAAUGAAAUUUGCAUGUGAUAUAGUAGAAAAUAUGUAAGGCUUAAUUUAUAUAAGUGCAGCGUAAAGUCAUUAAUUUCAGUGAAUUUUCAAUUUAAUAUAAUAUGUUACACUAAAUUAAUUAAAAAAAAUUAAAAAAAAUUGAGGGUUCCAAUUGAAACAGAAAUAUAGUUGAAGGGGCGUGCGUACAUCUCAAGAGGUAUAAACAUUUGUUAGAAAAGGACAAACAAUCCCUAGAAAUGUCAAGGGCCUUGCUGCAGCUAUUUGCUGUUACUAUCAAAUAAAUACUAAGCACUGAAGCAAAACUAUUAUGAUUAUUAUUAUUAUUUUUUGGUAGGUUGAAUAGAUUAUAAAGAAGGUCAAGUUGCAUCUCUUCUUGACCAUGUGAAUAGAUGCCUCACAUGUUUGUUUAAAGUAAGAGCAAUGCAUUCAAGGGUCGAUCUUAUCGCAUUAAUCUUAUCACAAUUUUAUAAUUUUAAUAUUAAAAAUUUUAAAAAACUAUUUCAAAUUUUGGAUGGAUGGAUUGUAACUAAAAUGUACACCCCUCUUUUAGAUGUACAGAUAGUUAGAUAUAUACUCUAAAAAGAUAUAUAUAUUACAUCCCAUUAUUUAAAGAUUCACAAAAUUUUUUUAAAUUUUUAGUUUUUUAAAGAGGUUGUAUAAUACACACCCUCUUCUGAGGUCCGGAAAAAAAAAUCUCAAGUUUUUAAUUAAAAAAUAAUAAUAAAAUGAGUAAUUAUAUUUAGAUCAUAGAAAGCCUGUAGUAUAGGCCUACAGAUGGCAUUUCUUUACAAUAUAAUAAUGUAAAAGAAGUGACGCACGUGAAUAAGACAUGAUAAUUAAUAGAACAAAACAGUGCACAAAUUAUUCAUAAAACUGUUAUAGGAAUUGGAGUUUCAGCCUUUCUCAGGGUAGUUGGCGCAGUCGGCUCCCACACUUGUUCUGUGCCAUUAAUUGAUUCUCAGCCGGCAGCAGCCAGCUUUCUGCUCUGAGCUUGCUGGCACGAGAAUGGCGGGAGUAGAGCCGAUCAUAUUAGCAGCGCUGGGAUGGGUGGCGUCUCCCCUCGUGGCGAAGCUGCUUGCCGAAGGCUUCGCCAGCUUAGGCAUCAACGCGGAGAAGAAGCUGCAGAAGCUGAGGGCCACCGUCCUCCCGGUGUUGAAAUCGGUGAUCGAGAAAGCGGAAGGCAGCCCGCACCGGAGCGAGGUGGAGGGCUGGCUGCAGAGGCUGAAAGACGCUUACGACGGCGCAGAGGAUGCGCUGGACCUCCUCAACUACGACCGCCUCAGGCGCAAGGUGGCGGAAGCCGCAAGGAGCAGUGGUAAGAGGCCAACUAAUCCGGUACGUUCUUCUUUUUUUCACAUACCAAAACCUGUGAAAUGGAUGAUAAAAGGCUGUCGGGAUAUGGGGUCGCCUCAAAAGAUCAAGCUGAAGCGAAGGCUGAACAAGCUGGAAAAGAUCGCCGGCGAAGCCCAGACACUCCGCGAUUUGUUAGGCGCCACAGCAGCGCCCGACAGGCAGAACAUCGCGCAACCUCCGCAAAAAGUGUUUGGCCGCGACAAAGAUCGUGAAGAAAUCAUUCGGCGUUUGAAAACUGAACCUGCAGCAAUUUGCGAGCCUGGAUCAUCAUCGGGCAUCCCUAUAAUUGCCAUAGUUGGUCGCCCGGGGGUCGGAAAGACUGCUCUUGCACAGUACAUUUGUGAGCAGUUGAGGAGCGAAUUAGGUGACGGACAUUUUGACCUCAUCAUGUGGGUCUACGCAUCUUGCGAUUUCAAUGCAUCCGAAAUUAUGAAAAACAUCAUACAACAAGCUAGUAUUGCAAGUGAGUCUCAAGAUUCCGUUAAUCCAGAUGAUCUAGCCGUAACGAUCCUUGCUCUUCUUCGUAAUCGCAACACUAAUCUUGACACUAUGGUCGUGGGCAACCUUGACUCGCCUGAAGGGCUCCGACUGAAAAUGAACAAAAUGCUGAACGCGAAGAAUUUCCUGCUUGUGAUAGAUGAUGUUUGGUGCGACGGGGAAGACCACAAGAAGAAUUGGAAAACAUUAAGGUGCUUAAGCAAUUGUUGUUUGCCAGGGAGCAAGAUUUUAGUUACAUCUCAAAUGGAGGAUGCGCCGAGAAAGAUUGGUGCCGCUAUUGGUGCUACUAUAGAACACAUUUUUCCGUUGAAAGAUAUAGAAGAGAAUUACUUUUCAGAUCUUUUCAUUCACCACGCUUUGCCUAGCGGGGAAAUCGAUUCUCACUUAAGAGAAGAGUUAGAAGAGAAAUGCAGGACGAUCGCUAGGAAGUUGAACAAGGACCCUACGGCGGCCGAGAUGGUUGGCGAGACGAUCGCUACGGAGAUGGCUCGCCUCCUUCGUUCACAAGGUAAUUUACAUGCAUAUUUGAGAAAGAUUGCAGACGAGGACUGGUCUGGCGACAAAACCAAAGCACUGAUGUGGAGUUAUCGGCAUUUGCCUGCACAUCUUCAGCGUUGCUUCUCAUAUUGUAGCCUGUAUCCUAGAGGCCACACGUUUGAAGCUUUACAACUGGUCCAGCUCUGGAUGGCGCAAGGUUUUAUCAAGCCGGAUGAUCAGAAUAAGAGGAUGGAGGAUGUAGGCAAUAAUUACCUAAAUGAGUUGGUGUCCAGAUUCUACAUUCAGCGUCAUAACAGAGUCGGCUACUCCUCUGGGGCAUAUAAGUUUGUCAGCUACUAUACAUUGCAUGAAUUGUUGUAUGAUCUAGCAGAAAAGGUUACUCGCAAUUAUUGUGUUAGAAUAGAAGGUAAUCAUCAAAGCGAGAUCCCGUCAACUAUUCGCCAUCUGUGCAUACCAGCUAACAAACUGAACGAGAAUAAGGAGGAAAUUUGCAAACUAGAGAAACUUCGCACCCUAAUUGUCACAGGAGGGGAAAGCAUCAACUCAAAAGCAGAUGUUGUAACUGACAUCUCCAACAGCUUAAAACAAUUCAGCUUAAAAAAAUUGCGCGUGCUGGUUUUGGAGUUAAAUCUAGAAAAUUUGGCGAAGUUUAUAAGUGAAAUGAAGCACCUUCGCGUCCUACAAGUAUCAAGUACUAGCGAGUUUGUGUUGCCGGAGUCGGUGUGUACUCUGUAUCAGUUACAGGUGCUGAGAAUAAAUUGCGCUAGGUUGCUUCCUAAAUUCCUUAAUAACUUGGUUAGCUUGAGGUAUUUAGAGGCAAAUUCUGAUUUAAUUUCGGGGAUACCUGACAUUGGCAAGUUAACUUUCUUGCAAGGCCUAAAACAUUUUCAGGUGAAAAAGGAAAAAGGAUAUGAGCUAGAGCAGUUACAGAACUUGAAUGAACUUCGAGGACACUUGUGCAUUGAUAAUCUCGAGAAUGUUGAGAGCAAGGAUAGCGCCAUUGCAGCCAAAUUAAAAGAGAAGGAGCAUCUUGAUAUGCUCCAGUUGGUAUGGUGCGGCGGUUUGGACAAUGUAAAUUCUAGUUCGGAUGUUGAAAUUCUCGAGGGCCUCCAAUUGCCUCCCUAUCUUACCAGCCUGAUUUUAGAUGGGUAUCGAGGGCGGUCGUGUCCGUCUUGGCCCGAAUGUCAAACAUCUGAUAUUCAAGAACUUGCACUGAGGAGGUGCCGAAUGCUAGAAGCGCUCCCACUAAUGAUGGACCAGAUUUAUCGAUCUUGCAGAUCACUUGAGCUUUCGCAUCUUUCUAAACUUAAAGCAUUACACGCCCUUCCCCCACAGCUUACAAUACUCAUAAUAGAAAAUACACCGUCUCUCAUCUUUGUAACAAAUGAAGACCUGCAGUUGAGCGAAGAUGACAAGAGAUCCAUAAGAGAGGUUAGGAGAAACGGGACACAAGAAUGGUUUUCCCACCGAUAUCAAGAGUCCUUAGUCAACAAUGAAAAAGAAAUGAUGAAUUUCAUAGCCUCAAUGAAUGGCUCCAACAAUAAUGAAGCUAGCUCUGCAGAGCAUAAUAAGAGUGUGCCUGCCGCCGACGUGGCUAUUACCGAUCACUGGGAGAGAUGGUUGGAGAUUCACAAGCGAAAGAUGGAAUUGAUUUACAACAGACAAAAUGAGGCCAAAUUGCUUCUGCCCUCUACCCUUACCGAGCUCUGGCUUAAGGGAUGCAACAUUACUAACCGUGCAUUGUCGGCAAGCCUACAAACUCUUACCUCCCUCACCCGCCUGUCGCUAGAAGAGAUCAGAACAGUAACCUCUCUGCCAUCUGAAGAUGUCCUCGGCAAGUUAACAUCACUCCAAGCUGUAAUUCUACGAGAGUGCUGGGCCGUCACUUCGCUGGGUGGUAUAAGAUCCCUCCCCCAUCUUAAAGAACUCUACCUCUCAGGAUGCCCCUGCUUGGAUAGUAGAACUGCUUUCUUGCCGUCCUCGUUGGAGAUUAUCACUUUUGAAUCUUGUGCAGAUGUAGAUGUAAUCCUAGCCAACACAAAUUUGCCACGUCUAUCUCAUCUUACAAUUGUUCAAUGUGAUAUGCAAACGACAUCGUUACAGCUUGGCGACCUACAAUCUCUUUACUUCUUGUAUAUUGAUGAUUGUAUUGGGCUCUCAUCCUUGGUGUAUCUGCAGAAACUGAACUCUCUAGAAUGUCUCAUUCUGCAUAACUGCUCAAAUCUGGAGGCUGUGAUGAAUUUGCCCAUGUCACUUGCUCGUUUAGUAAUACGCAGCUGUCCGAUUUUAGAGAAGCAAUCUGUAAAAAUUGACCCCCUUUCAGGCAGGCGUAUCCUCGAUGGCAUCCCUGUAGAAGACACGUUAUGAGCAUCUCCAUGAUGUAGACAGAUGUAUGUAUGUAUCUCCUUGCCACUCUUACAAGCUGCUUAUUCAUCCAUUAGCAAACUUGAGAUACGUCAAACUUCUCUACACCUUGCCUUCGUAUUUUGAGAUGAGAUUUAAAAUGCUGCAGUCCUGUUCUCUAAUUGCUGAGCUUUUCGAAUCUUAAUGCUAAAUCAAUAUGGUUCAGACUUCAGAUGUAUAUUGCUUCCCUUACUUGAGAGCUAGUAGUUGAUUCCUGCAGAUUCAAAACUGUAGUAAAGAAGUUAUUUUAUACCAGUUUUCUUGCAUUAUAUAUUCUAUGACAAUUUGAAACAUAAGAUUCGUGAUCUUGCAAUUCAAAUUGUAUCUUUCUAGUCUGUUGAACAUUAUGUAUUGCUUUCUUUAUUUUUUUCUUUGCGCUCACUUUUUAGUGUUCUAAUUUUAUUUUUGUUUCACCAUCUUUCUGCAGAUACUUACUGGCAUUAGCUUCCGAAGAUGAAAAAAAAAAAGAAGAGAAAAACUGGUGGAUGGUCGAUUGCUAAAUUUCAGUCGUUUCUGGCACAGAGACUCCUUCAUAUAAAGCAUUUGAAAUAAAGGAAAAAAAAAGAAAAAAAAAAAAGGUGUUUGUUUAUAUUUUGUGUGUGUUUGUGUUUCGAUUGUUACUUGGUGCUGUCAAAGGCUAUGUUUACAUACCUAUACAAAAAAAAAAAAAAAAAAAAAAAAAAAAAAAAAAAAAAAAAAAAAAAAAACCAAAAAAGUGAAAACAGAAUAAAAAAAAGUUAAAACUGAAAAAAAAAAAAAAAAACCCGAAAGAGUUGAUGUGCGUUUGUGUGCAUUGUAGUCAUAAAAAGUGUUAUGUUUUUGUGUUCUUUUUUGAAUGGAGUAUUUCUUUGUAUAGUGCAGAAGACUCUGUAGAUCUGGAAUUUGUAUCAUGUUUGUACAUGAGUGUUUUAAUUUUGUUCUCAAGGACUUAGUUACUGUUGCAACAGGGUGUGCUUGGUGUGCAUUGUGAUCAUAAAAUGCACUAUGUUUUCAUUUCUUUUUCCUCUUAAUGUAUUGUGUUCUCUAUGGUGUAAAAGACUCUGUAAACCUAAAAUUUGUGUCGUGUGUAUCUGAAUUUCGGUGUUUUAAUUUUUUUUUGUUGUAGUGUCUCCCGUGCUUUUGGUUAAUGCAGAGAGGAUAUUAUGCUUGUGUGGUAUGAAAAAUCCCAAUAUUUCUUGUUUCUUUGAUAAUAGUUUCUGUUAAAAUUUAAAUAUGUUAAUGAUAUUAUGAAAAUUUGUCAGUAAUUUGUUCUGAUGCAUUUGAUGUAUACUUCACACCUGAAAAUUUUCAAAAUUCAAUGUCUACAAGUCUUAAAUGCUCUAAAUCAACUUAAACGGUGUAGGUCGUCGAUUUAAAUGUUCCAUUAUAAAAAAUGAUCCACUAAUACUGCAAUCUGAAUAUUUUUAAAAAUAUCCUUGCCUAUAUAUAUAUAUAUAUAUAUAGAGAGAGAGAGAGAGAGAGAGAGAGAGAGAGAGAGANNNNNNNNNNNNNNNNNNNNNNNNNNNNNNNNNNNNNNNNNNNNNNNNNNNNNNNNNNNNNNNNNNNNNNNNNNNNNNNNNNNNNNNNNNNNNNNNNNNNGUGGUCCUGAUAUAUCCGAAUAUGUUAGUUUGAGCAAACAGAAUAUAAAAAACGAAUAAUCUGUUGUAGUAAACGAAGACGACACUUCUAUAGCAGACCCAUAUUUGAACUUGGAGAAGUACCGAACCUAGUUUAGAUGUAUGAAGCUAUUAGAUUCCUACGUUAGGUUCGGGGCGUUGAACAUACUUUAGCUGUAUUACAGUACUAGUAAAAUAUUUAAGGUUAUAACUUGAGAAAUGACUUAAGGAUAGGUAGGUACAACCAAAACUGUUAGCGAACGGAGAAAGUAAGCGCAAGUAGAACCUGACUUCUAAAGAACUCUAAAACUCCACCUCAGAAUCAGAAGAGACGGCGACCUCUUAGAUAGUGUAUAAUGACAAGAACUUAACCUUAGAAUUGCUACUUUACUCUAUAAAAAACAAACUAGAACAACCACCUGAGAGCUACAACGAUGUAGUAAUCGACAACAACAUUGUGACAUCUUAUUGUGCUUGGUAAUCUUAGCCAGCGAUGGCCUUAUUAUCUUAAGACAAUCGGAUAUGUCCUCAAAAGGGUCGGCGAUCGGAAAUUAUCUAACGUGAUUACACAGUUCGAAAGCUUACUAGACGUGUAAUUCCCCGUAAACUAACCUAAAUUAACAUUUAUGUCACAUCUAUCUAUACGUACGCUAACCUUUAUAUCAUCACGUUUAUGUACAGAACAAACUAAUAAUCAUCUUUUGUGAUUUUAAUAUUUAUUAAAUAAGUCAGAAUACGUCAGCUCUUCACAUAAAAUAUUAAAAAAUAGUGAAAUAUAUACCUCACCAUUCUAAUGGAGGAUUCGAUCUAAAAAAAAAAUUUCCAAUAAUCCCUCCAUUCGAAUAAAAAUAAAUUUCAAUGAGAUAGAUUGACAACAUUAACCUUGAUAACUAAUUAAACCCGCAUCAAAGCUGAUAACAUCAACUCAGUGUACGUCAAGAUUGACGUUGUCAACUUAAGUUUACAGAGUUCGGUUUGUGACCUAAACUUAAACGUAAAUCAUAUGUUAACGUCACAUCAACGUUGAUACACGUUACUUUGUUGGAGAUUGUGUAAUAAUAACAACCUCAACACACAGAUAAAGUUGAAUUAUCGGAAGGUUUCAAAAACGAUCAAGGGUGGUUCUACCUGUUUAAUGUUUUAGAACUUCUUGCAUGAAACUGUCUCCUAGAAAGCCGAGGCUACCUCCUAGAAAGCUGAGGCUAUCUCUUAGAAAGCUGAAAUUAUCUCUUAGAAAACCAACAUUAUGAUUAACUGCACACGGAUUUAUUUUUAUCAGCUUAUAAGACUAUGGUUAGCUACAUCAGUUUACUCAUGACAUCGUUCAUGAAAUCAGCGUCUAUUACAUCCCGUCCCCUAAUAACGUCUUUCUUAUCGUCUUCCUUUUUUUUUUUCAUUUUCCCAAUUCUCCCUAUUCACUAUGUUCGACCUAUAUAUGGUGUCCCGUGAUUCUUUUUGUGUGUUUUAUUUUAAAAGUAAUUCAUUUUUUUCAGCAAUUUUUUUGAUAUAAAUAUAAUUUUUUUAGAGUUAUGAUCAGGAUUAGUUUAGGAUUCUAAAAUCUCUACAAAAAUACCGUUUAAGUGUAUUUUUUUGGUAUCCAACACGUAAAAACCUUGUUAUCCUGUAAAAAACUUUAUAUGUAUAAUCCUGCUAUAUAAUUCAUUUGACUGAUUUUAUAAGAAUAAGGAAAGAGAUAAAACAGAGAGAACAACCAAAAAGAAGAAGGAGAAGAAGAAGGAGUAAGACGUUGAAAAGAGAGAGAGAGGAGAAUGAAAGAGAGUAAAGAGGAAGAGAAGGAGGUGGAGAUAUAGUCGGAGCACGAGGAGAGAGGAUAGAGCGGGUAUGAAGACGGAGGUAUUCGCCGCCGUUACGCCCGAGCCUAUACCGUGUCUCGUUCCUCCAUUCCGCUGCCGUUUUUUGCACCAGCCUCUUCCGCUGUCACUACUCCGACGGUUUCCUAAACUCUUGCUGUUUUUUCCCCUUUCGGCACCCCGUCCUGUCAAUCCCGGCAUCUAUAUCGCUGUCUGCCUCUCCGUCACCCGCGAUAUCUCCUUUUCUUGCGUUGAUCACCUUCUUUUUCUUUUUUUUCCUCGGUCUUUUUCUUUUUAUAUAUAAGAAGAAGAAGAGCUUUCUGGUGGUAUGCGGUGUCAUUGAUGUUCCUUCCUGUUCUUUUUCUCUUCUUUCUUCUUUUUCUUCACCUUGACGGAUUCUUUUUCAAUAUAAUGCCCUCUGAUUUACCUGAUAAAUUCUGUUCGACGUGGCAAAUGUUGAUCAACUCUGAUUUUACGUGAUUGUUUUUAUUUUGAAUGCUACCAUCUGUGAGUCAACGUGACAAACUCUUCAACAUUGAAUCAGAGUUUAACAAAAUUUGCCACGUUGAAUUCAAAAUUUGUUACGUUGAAUCAAAGUUUGUUAUGUUGAAGAUAAAAUAUACUACGUUGAAUCAGAGUUUAUCAAAAUUUACGACGUUAAAUCGGAAUUUGUCACGUUCAAACAGAGUUUGUCAUGUUGAAGAAAGAAUAGAUCAAGAACCGGAAAGGAAAUCUCCGGUGCCGUGCACACUGGAAGGAUCCUUUUCUUUAUAUAUAAAAUAAAAUAAAAUAAAUAAGAAAAAGAAAAAAAUUAAGGUGGGAGCGUAAGAAAAGGCGAUAGUGCGGAGAAAGGAGCGGAAAAAGAUGUCGUCGGAAGGGACAGUACUUCGCGAGAGGGAAGGCAGGAGGAGUUUAGGACGCUGUAGGAGCAACAACAGCGGUAAGUGUUGGUGCAAGAGGUGGUUUCGGAAUGGAAGGACUAGAUAUGAUAUAGACUCGGGUGUAGCUACGUCAGUGACAACCUCAGCCGCCUCCACACCCGCUCUAUCCUCUCUCCUCGUGCCGCAGUCGCAGCCCCACCACUUCCUCCUUCUCUCAUCCCUCUCCUUCACCCUCCUCUUUUUUGUUUUCUCUCGCUCUUCCCCACCACUUCCUCCUUCUCUCAUCCCUCUCCUUUACCCUCCUCUUUUUCGUUUUCUCUCGCUCUUCCUUCUCUGCUCCUCUUUCUUUUUUUUUUUCUUACUGUCUAUCUUUUCUCUCUUUCUCAUUAUUUCUAUAAAACCAGUCAAAUGGUUUUAAGUCUAAGAUUAGAUAUUUUAGAUUUUAUCACCAUAUAAACUUUUUUUGCAUUUUAGCCACCUAAAAAAAACGUUUGUCCGGAAAAAGAUAAAGCUUUGAUAGAUUAAGCUUAAAUUUAAUGAAGUCUUAUUAAACUAUACAAGUAACUAUAGCAUUUGUUUAAGGUAUUUGCCUAAAUUCUCUUAGUCAACCCGCAAGAAAAAACUGUCCUCCUUUUUGCCCUCUAGCUAGAAGCAUAUAAACGGUUCUUAUAAUACUUACCUUCCUCCCUUCUUUUUCCAAUCGCCUACUGAACUGGUGCUCCAACCUACACAAAGUAGCUCGUCAUUCGUCGUCUAGAAAGGGAACAAAAAUUAUCUUUCAACCACGGAAGAACAAAACGUUUAAGACCAGCUCCACCAAAACGAGACGGGUACACAUUUUUAUGUAGGUUCAUUUCUUUUAUACAUGAAAGUAGCCAAGAUACAUAGCAUUAUAUUCGACAAACUACACUAGACAAACCACGCUAGAUAUUUUGACGUUGUAGACUCUCUAGUCGUCUGUUGUCAUCCGUGAAGAAAAGAACCGUCAAUCAUCACCCUUUUAGCUAACAACAUAUAAUCAGAAACCUCUCACUUUCCCUGUGGUAGUUUAAGUACUCUUCGUUCAAAACCGCCACGAUGACUUGAUUGAAACAGUUACUUCCGGUAUAAACAUAUUGUAGAGCUCGGUCCGUCCCCACCAUGAUAUCUCAAACAGUGAAAGUUACUGACUCGUAAGGUAGCUAUAUAGAACUAAAUUAUCAUAAACUUGAAAAAUCCAUAAACAUGCUGAAAAAUUCAUAGUAGAUGUGAUGAAUCACAGGCCUGCCGGUCGUUUUCCUUGAUAAAUUUGACGAAUAUAUCUACAUAAUUUUGUUAUUAGGUUUAGCCAGUCAAAAACCUACCUUCUAAGCAAAAGAGGGACCGUUUGAUUCACGUUCUAUAACGUUGAGGCUAAACUCAAAAUGUUCAAAAUAAGGAAUUAUAAACUAUAUAGAUAAAAAUUGAAACUGGUAAAAAGAAAAACUAUUCAACAACUGAAUUUUCACUACGAGUUUUUUAGUGUUUUAAACCCAAGAUUUUAUGAGAUAACAGAUUUAGUACAAAUUGCCACUUAUAGCAGUUUAAUUUGCGCGAUGUAUUUUAAUUUUUUGCUCAGAGAUCGAUCAGAACUACUGAGACGCCAUGAUUAAUUAUAGUUCAUGUCAAGUUGAUAUUAUAGAUUAUAAUAAAAAACUCUAUUGUUAUAAAUUUUAAUAUUAGAGAUGUACUUACUGUUGCUUAAACUCAGUAAAGACGUACAUUUAACGAUAAAAUCUAAAUACUCAACAUUAGUUGACCUUGUGUUUCGUUUCAAUUCGAUGAGGUUUCGAAACAAGUCGGAUUACCACGUCUACCCGACACGAUUUGCUUCAUGAGACUUGGUCCUGCCCCUGAAAAGAUUUGCGUCAAUGCCCCUUAGACACGAGAGAGUUGACGGAGAUUUACAUUACCAGGCAAACAAAGUUGCAUUUUAGCACUUUUUAUAAAAAAGUACUUUUUUUUUUAAAGCUAUUUUUUUUUCAAAAUGUAUAACAUCACAAACCAGACAUCUUUUUUUUUUUUUUUAAAGUAGUGGUAAACAAACCAACUUUUCUUUUUUUUAAGUGUAAACAAGCCAAACCACUUUUUUUUACUUACUUUUUUUUAAAAUACGUUAAACUCAAAAGCAAUGCACCUUUUGUAUUAUUAGACAACAUUAAUCAAGGUUAAUGAACCACUAUAGUAUGAUUCAAAGCUUGGAUUUGUUUUCUAUUAUUACCUGUUAUGUUUCGCAAUUGAUCGAGAUCUCUAAUGGGUCUCCUAUUCUAAUGGAUCUCCUACACUUACGAUACUAUGCAUUCCACAAUGAACAAUGAUGACAUUUGUUUCGACAAAAAGGAACUUCAAAUAGGAAACCUAGAAUGUGUUCCAAGAAGUACACCCCAAAAAAAAAUCAGAAUAAAAAAAUCAAGCAUGAUAUAUAGGUACUCGUCUCCAAAUUUAGCAGCUCCAAAUGCUGUUAAUAUUGAUAUUUUGUGAGACAACCAUAUUAAUAUAGAACCUGGAUGCGCCUCUGCUGGGUACAAUUAUAAGGUACAGUCCACAUAGAAAGAACUACCACUACAUGAUGUUGCUUUAGAAUUAUUAUCCCAAAUUGGAAGAUCUGCUGCACGUUGGCAUCAUAUCCUGUGACCUUUCUUGAUAAAACUUUAGGUAGAGGUCAUUCCAAACAACCCAUCUGUUAUCUAACGUGGAUGGAUUGCUCAACUAUAUAUAUAUAUAGAGUCCAGCUACUAUACUAUCGAUAGUACCAAGUCCUUGAUACUAUUGAGUUUUCUACCGUUAGAUCUACCCUUUGAUCAUUUCCACCCGUUAGAUUAUACUAUUAAACUAACCAUCCACUCAACCCUAGGGGACCACUAUUAAUUUAACCGGGGACCACUAUCAUCCUAACCGCACAUCUUUUCAUCCAACGACCGAAAACUCAAUAGUACUGAAGGCUUGGUACUAUUGAUAGUAUAGUAGCAUAAUUCCAUAUAUAUAUAUAUAUAUAUAUAUAUAUAUAUAUAUAUAUAUAUAUAUAUAUAUAUAUAUAUAUAUAUAGAGAGAGAGAGAGAGAGAGAGAGAGAGAGAGAGAGAGAGAGAGAGAGAGUGGAGUUAGAAUACUGUUAGAAGCACCAAGCCUUUGGUGCUUCUAAGUUUUUAGCCCUUAGAUCUACUCCUUGAUUACUAAUAGCCAUUGGAUCAAACACUAUUCCACCUACCACCACCUACCGUCACCUACCACCAUCAUCCCAAUCCUAUAUCUCUCCAUUCAAAGGUUAAAAACUCAAAAGCACCACUAUCAUGGUGCUUUUAGGAGUAUUCUAGCUCAACUAUAUAUAUAUAUAUAUAUAUAUAUAUAUAUAUAUAUAGAGGUGAGCUAGAAUGCUAUCGAUAGCAAACCGGUACUUUUGCCACCCAUUUGUUUUCGAUGAUAGAGCCUCCAAAUUGACGAUCGGCACCGUUGAGCAUGAUCUAUACCACUUGAAAUAUUUGGAAAUUAAAUUUCAAAUCUUUUCGAUAUCAUUUGCCUAAUGAUCAAAGGGUUUCAAAAUUUGUAAUUUUAAUGGUCGAUAUAAGACGUUUUCUCAUUUAACGGCGUAAAGAUAUCCAAAUCAUUUGAAUUUUUGUUAGAAAAUUUUUUAAACUAUUUAAAACAAGAUCUAUACUCUUGAUCUUGAUUACAAGACUCCUAUUAUCAUUUUUUUAAGAAUAUUUAUUUUCAGCUGUUCAUUUUUAUGUCCACUCGAUGGAUAAGAAAAUAAUAUCGAAAAUGAAUGAAAUUUGAUUUCUAAAUACUUCAAAUGGUAUAGAUCAUGUUCAACGGUGCCGAUCGUCGAUUUGGAGGCUUCAUCAUCGAAAACAAAUGGGUGACAAACGUGCCGAUUUGCUAUCGAUAACAUUCUAGCUCAACUCUCUCUCUCUCUCUCUCUCUCUCUCUCUCUCUCUCUCUCUCUCUCUCUCUCUAUAUAUAUAUAUAUAUAUAUAUAUAUAGAGUCCGGCUAUGGUGCUUGUGAAAGCACUAAGCACAUGGUGCUUGUGAAUUUUUUACCGUUAGAUCUACGAUUUUGAUCUUUUGCAUCCGUUAGAUUAUACUAUUCAACCAACUACCUACUUAACCCAAGGGGGCCCACAUUAUCCUCACCGCACAUCUAUUAAUCCAAGGGCUAAAAACUUACAAGCACCAAUAACUUGAUACUUUUAAAAGCAUAGGAGCUCAAUUAUAUAUAUAUAUAUAUAUAUAUAUAUAUAUAGAGUUGAGCUAGAAUACUAUCGAUAGCAAAUGAGCUCCGUUGCCACCCAUUUGUUUUCGAUGAUGGGGCUUCCAAAUCGACGAUCGGCACUGUUGAAUAUGAUCUAUACCACUUGAAGUGUUUACAAGUCAAAUUUCAUACAUUUCCGAUAUUAUUCUCUUAUCCAUCGAGUGGACAUGAAAAUGAACGGCUGAAAAUGAAUAUUCUUUAAAAAAUCAUGAUAGGAUCUUGUAAUCAAGAUCAAGAGUAUAGAUCUUGUUUUAAAUAGUUUAAAGAAUUUUCUAACAAAAAUUCAAUUGAUUUGUAUACAUAUUUUUAUGCCGUUAAACGAGAACACACCUCAUAUCGACAAUUAAAAUUAUAAAUUUUGAAACCCUUUGAUCAUUAGGCAAUUGAUGUCGAAAAAAUUUGAAAUUUAAUUUCUAAACACUUCAAGUGGUAUAGAUUAUGUUCAACGGUGCCGAUCGUCGAUUUGGAAGCUCUAUCAUCGAAAACAAAUGGGUGGCAACGGAACCCGUUUGUUAUCGAUAGUAUUCUAGCUCAACUAUAUAUAUAUAUAUAUAUAUAUAUAUAUAUAGGGUCCAUCUACUAUCCUAUUAAUAGGAUUGAGGACAUUGUCCUAUCAAGUCGAUUUGAAUGAUCGGAACUUCAAAUUGAUAAUCGGUACUGUUGAAAUUGAUUUGCACAAUUAGAAAUGUUUAGAAAUGUUGAAAUUGAUCUACACAAUUAGGCUGAUGUGGUCCCUUUAGGAUUGAGUGGGUAGUUAGUUGAAUAGUAUAAUCGAAUGGAUGAAAAUGAUAAACGGGAUAAAUCUAACGGUAGAAAACUUGAUAGCACUAAAUAUUUCGUGCUAUCGAUAGUAUCCUGCCGGACUCUACACACACGGUUUACCACCAUUAUUAUUAAAAUUAUUUUGGGUCACUAACACUUAGCAGUAGACACCGACCAGCAAGUGGUAAGUUUAGAUUGACUUUGUGGUGACCGUACAAUCAUCAUUCCUCGGAUUGUAUGAUUAUGACGGUACAGCCAAUCAUUCAUUCCUCUCCUCUAAUUAAUUUCUUACUCUAUAUUUUUAUAUUUUAAUUUUUUAUUCCUCGGAUUGUCUUACUCAUCUAAAAACCAUUAUAUUUUCGCUGGUUUUAUCAUUUUUUUUCUUUUUAAUAGUAAAGUAGAUGAGAUAUGAGAUUUAUGUAUAACUAUGUACAGUAAUAUUCUUUGGUACGAUAAAGAAAUGCAAUUAAAGAUCUCUUAAUAUAGUAUAGUACUAGUCCACUUGACCAGAAAAUUUUUUGAAUGCAACGGGUAUAUAUUGGUGAUGUGGCGUAAAAAUCAAUCAAAUAUCUCUUUUUAGAGCUAUAUGUCCUAUCAUGAUUAUAAAAAAAUAUUUUUAUUGUAGUUUGAUUUGAAAAAAAAAAUAAUUAAUUUGUUAUUAAUAACGUGGUGCAAAUGUGAUGGUGUAGAAUUUCUGCUCGACCAGAUCGAAAAGGUUGUUGCUUGUCUCGAGCCACAAAUGCGAAUUCCCCACACAUCUAAUACACUUCAUCCAACUUUUUCAAUUGCUCAGCUGGCUUUUAGAAUGCUUCCAGAUACCAUGACACCAUGGGUCAGACAUCUUCUAAGUAAGCAAAGGUCCAAGCAGACCUAGGGGUGGUAGGUAGGGGUGUAAAACGGGCCGGGCGGCACGUGGGCCGCCCGGCCCGGCACGGCUGCGGGCCAGGCCUUAGCACCCGGGCCGGGCCGGGCCCGGCAGGCACUUCGGGCCCUGCUGGGCCUCACAUUUGGAGCCCGACGGCCCGGCACGGCACGGCCCCAACUUGGGCCUGGGGUUUGCUCUCCUCGGGUGGAGGGCUUAGCCCUCCUCCCAAGGAGAGCUCCUCCCUUGGGAGGAGUGAUUUUGGUCCAAUGGACCAAAGCAAUUUUGGUCCAUUGGACCAAAAACCCUUCUCAACUUUUUUUUUUCAAAAAAAAAAUNNNNNNNNNNNNNNNNNNNNNNNNNNNNNNNNNNNNNNNNNNNNNNNNNNNNNNNNNNNNNNNNNNNNNNNNNNNNNNNNNNNNNNNNNNNNNNNNNNNNNNNNNNNNNNNNNNNNNNNNNNNNNNNNNNNNNNNNNNNNNNNNNNNNNNNNNNNNNNNNNNNNNNNNNNNNNNNNNNNNNNNNNNNNNNNNNNNNNNNNNNNNNNNNNNNNNNNNNNNNNNNNNNNNNNNNNNNNNNNNNNNNNNNNNNNNNNNNNNNNNNNNNNNNNNNNNNNNNNNNNNNNNNNNNNNNNNNNNNNNNNNNNNNNNNNNNNNNNNNNNNNNNNNNNNNNNNNNNNNNNNNNNNNNNNNNNNNNNNNNNNNNNNNNNNNNNNNNNNNNNNNNNNNNNNNNNNNNNNNNNNNNNNNNNNNNNNNNNNNNNNNNNNNNNNGCCCGGAAAAUGUGGGCCGGCACGGCCCACAUUACACCCCUAGUGGUAGGUCUAACUUUUAAAAUGUACUUUGAGGUUGAAAAGUAAUUUUCCCCCGAAUGUUCGCAAUGGGUUUUUUUAUAAAAUAAUUCUCUACAAAUUUAUAAUUAGCAAAAUGAUUCUGUAAAAAUUUUAUUUGUAAAAUAAACCAUCCUUUUCCCACGUGGGCGCAAUGUCAGUAUUCCUCACAAAGACGGUGAAUCGUUCACCGUCUUUGUAUAUUUCUUAUGAAGACGGUGAAUGAUUCACCGCUUUCUAAAGGCGAUAAACCACUUACUGCAUUUAGGGCAAAUCCCUUGCACUUUUCCUUUCCUAUGCCCUCGAGAAGACGGGGACACAGAAAAGACGGAAUUGUUAGGAUGAAGUUGGAAAAGAGGUCUUAUAAGGGGAAGCGGGUGGGGUUUUGCACUGAAGGUGGUGAAUCAUUCACCGCCUUAACCACAGAAUCACAAAGACGUCUUUGUGAGGAAAAUCAGAUGUGGCGCCCACAUGGCGAAAGGAGGGUUAGUUUUACAAAUUUUUUUUGGCAGAGUAAUUUUGCCAAGUAUAAAAUUUUAUAAGGUUAUUUUAUAAAAAAGCCCUUUCACAAUUUUAUUUUUCAAAUCCGAUUUUGCUUUUCAGAAUUAGAAAUUUUUUUUAAAAGCCUAAAAUCAAGAGCAGAAAAAAGCUACUUCUUUAAAUUUGAUUCUGAUUUUGUACUCAAAUUUCAAAUUUUUAUUUUAAUUUUAAAUUCAAUGCUUAAAUCUAAAUUUAAUUUUAAAUUUUAAUAUUUUAAAUUUCAUAAUUAUUUUAAAUUUUAAAAUUUCAAAUUUAAAAUUUGAAAUAUUAAAAUAUCAAAUUUAAAAUUUUGUACAAUUUUAAAAUUUAAAAAGCUUAAUUCUAAUUCAAUUUUAAAUUUAGUUAAUUUAAAAUAAAAUAUAAUAAAAAUAUUAAUUAAUGCUAACUAUCCGUUUGAAUUGACCGCGAAAGAAAUAGCGAAUAAUGUUUUUGUAUACACCGCGAUAUGACCGUACAAAUCAAUCAUUCUUCGUCCGCAUAUUAAUUCAUUCGUUCUUUUACUCUAGCUAAUUUCUUACUUUCUAUUUUUAUAUAUUUUUAAUUUUUCUAUUCCUAUUGCAACAACAGCAAUGCCAGUAGUCGAAUCGAUCGGAGUAGCAGCGGAGGUAUGGGUGGCGUCUCCCCUCGUGGCGAAGCUGCUCAACGAAGGCUUCGACAGCCUAGGCAUCGACGCGGAGAAAAGGCUGGAAGAGAUGGAGCAAAACAUCCUCCCGGUGCUGAAAUCGGUGAUCGAGAAAGCGGAAGGCAGCCGGCACCAUAGGAAGGUGGAGGGCUGGCUGCAGAGGCUGAAAGACGCUUACGACGACGCGGAGGACGCGCUGGACCUCCUCCACUACGACCGCCUCAGACGGCAGGUGGCGACAGCAAGCAGUAGUAGUACUAGGAGGCGAAGUAAUCCGGUGCCAAAAGUUGUUCGGGACAUGCUGUCGCCUCAAAAGAUCAAGCUGAAGCGAAGGCUGAACGAGCUGGAAAUGAUCGCCAGCGAAGCCGAGAAACUCCGCGCUUUGUUACGCGCAUGGCCCGAUCAGACAGCGGCAGCAGCGGCGCCUGACAGCAGGCCGGCCAUCUCAGUGCCUCCGCUGAGAGUGUUCGGCCGCGACGAAGAUCGUGAAGAAAUCAUCCAGCUCCUGAAAAUGGAGCCUGCAGCAGAGGUGAUGGAGAAAUUGGAAGACAGCGCGCAAUGGAGCGAGGUGGAGAGCGGUCUGCAGAGCACGGAGGACGUGCUGACCUCCUCAACUACCGGCGGCUCGAACGCAAGGCGGCAGAGGCGGAGGCGGCGGUAGCGAGGAGCAGAAAGAGGCAAAUUAAUCGGGUAUGUUCUCCUUUCAACGUACCAAAACUUGUGAAAUGGGUUGUACCAGUCUUGAAAGCUGGUCGCGAUAUGCUGUCGCCUCGAGAGAUCAAGCUGAAGCGCAGGCUGAACAAGCUUGAAUACAAAGCCAGCGAUGCCGAGAAGCCGGGCGAUUUGUUAGGCGCCCAGCCUGAUCAGACGGCAGCAGUGCCCGAUAGCAGGUAGACCAUCUCGCUGCCUCGGCAACAGGUGUUUGGCCGCGACGAAGAUCGUCACAAAAUCAUCCAUCGUUUGAAAACAGAACCUCCUGCAGCAGCAAUUCGCAGGCCUGGAUCAUCGUCGGGAGUGCCUAUAAUUGCCAUAGUCGGCCGCCCGGGGGUCGGGAAGACUACUCUCGCGCAGUAUGUUUACGAGCAGCUGAGGAGUGAAUUAGGUGAUGGACAGCAUUUUCAUCCCAUCAUGUGGGUCUACGCGUCUCGCAACUUCGACGCAGCCGGAAUUAUGAAAGACAUCGUACAACAAGCUUCUAUCGCAGGUGAGCCUCAAGAAGAUCUCGGUAACCUCAACUCGCUUGAAGCGCUGCAACUGAAAAUAAACAAAAAGCUAAAUGCGAAGAUGUUCCUCCUUGUGAUAGAUGAUGUUUGGUGCCACGGAGAAGACCACGAGAAGAAUUGGGAUACACUAUUCAGAUGUUUAAGCAAGUGUUGUUGUUUGCCGGGGAGCAAGAUUUUAGUUACGUCUCAAACCGACGAUGCGCCGAGAAAGAUUGCUGCUGCUAUUGGUGCUACCGUAGAACACAUUGUCCCGUUGGAAGAUAUGGAAGAGAAUUACUUUUCGGAUCUUUUCAUUCACUACGCAUUGCCCAGCAGGGAAAUGCAUGCGUGCCUAAGAGACGAUCUAGAAAAGAAAUGCAAGAUAAUUGCUGGGAAGUUGAACAAGGACCCUACAGCGGCCGAGAUGGUCGGCAAGACGAUUGCUAUGAAGAUUGCCGACCUCCCCCAUUCGCAAGGUAAUUUGCAUACAUACUUGAGAAAGAUUGCGGACAAGGACUGGUCCGGCGGCAAAACCAAAGCACUGAUGUGGAGUUAUCGGCAUUUGCCUGCACAUCUUCAGCGUUGCUUCUCAUACUGCAGCCUGUAUCCUAAGGGCCACACGUUCGAAGCUUUACAACUGGUCCAUCUCUGGAUGGCGCAAGGUUUUAUCAAGCCGGAUGAUCAGAAUAAGCGGAUGGAGGAUGCAGGCAAUAAGUACCUAAAUGAGUUGGUGUCCAGAUUCUACAUUCAGCGUCAUAACAGAGUCAGCUACUCCUCUGGGGCAUAUAAGUUUGUCAGCUACUACACGUUGCAUGAAUUGUUGUAUGAUCUAGCAGAAAAGGUCACUCGCAAUUAUUGUGUUAGAAUAGAAGGUAAUCGUCGAACCGAGAUCCCGUCAACUAUUCGUCAUCUGUGCAUACCGGCUGACAAACUGAACGAGAAUAAGGAGAGGAUUUGCAAACUAAGGAAACUCCGCACCCUAAUCGUCAUGGGAGGAGAAAGCGUCACCUCAAAAGAACAAGUUGCGACCGACAUCUCCAACAGCUUUAAAAAAUUCAGCUUAAAAUAAUUGCGUGUGCUGGUUUUGGAGUUAAAUCUAGAAAAUUUGGCAAAGUUUAUAAGUGGAAUGAAGCACCUUCGCGUCCUAGAAAUAUCGAGUACUAGCGUGUUCGUGUUGCCGGAGUCGGUGUGUACUCUGUAUCAGUUACAGGUGCUGCGAAUAAAAAGCGCUAGCUCGCUUCCUAAACGUCUUAAUAACUUGGUUAGCUUGAGGUAUCUAGAGGCAAAUUCUGAUUUAAUUUCGGGGAUACCUGACAUUGGCAAGUUAACUUCCUUGCAAGGCCUAAAACAUUUUCAGGUGAAAAAGGAAAAAGGAUAUGAGCUAGAGCAACUACAGAACUUGAAUGAACUUCGAGGACGCUUGUGCAUUGAUAAUCUCGAGAAUGUUGAGAGCAGGGAUAGCGCCAUUGCAGCCAAUUUAAAAGAAAAGGAGCAUCUUGAUAUGCUCCAGUUGGUAUGGCGCGAUGGUGAGGACAAUGUAAAUUCUGAUUUGGAUGUCGAAAUUCUCGAGGGCCUCCAAUUGCCUCCCUAUCUUACCAGCCUGAGUUUAGAUGGGUAUCGAGGACGGUCGUGCCCGUCUUGGCCCGAAUGUCAAACAUCCGAUAUUCAGGAAUUUGCACUGACGUGGUGUGGAAUGCUAGAAGCGCUCCCACUGAUGAUGGACCAGAUUUACCGAUCAUGCAUAUCACUUGAGCUCUCGCAUCUUCCUAAACUUAAAGCAUUACAUGCCCUUCCACCACAGCUUACAAUACUCAUAAUAGAAAAUACACUGUCUCUCAUCUUUGUAACAAAAGAAGACUUGCAUAUGAGCCCAGCCGACAAGAGAUCCAUAAUAGAGGUCAUGAGGAAAAGGAUGCCGAAAUGGUUUCCCCACCAAUAUCAAGAGUCCUUAGUCAACAAUGAGAAAGAAAUGAUGAAUUUCAUAGCCGCAACGAAUGACUCCAACAAUGAAGCUUGCUCUGCAAAGCAUAAUAAGAGUGCGCCUGCUGCCGACGUGGAUAUUACUGCUGUCUGGGGGAGAUGGUUGGAGGUGCAUGAGCGAAAGAUGGAAUUGAUUUACAGCAGACAAAAUGAGGCCAAAUUGCUUCUGCCCUCUACCCUUACCGAGCUCUGGCUUAAGGGAUGCAACAUUACUAACCGCGCAUUGUCGGCAAGCCUACAAACUCUUACCUCCCUCACCCGCCUGUCGCUAGAAGAGAUCAGAACAGUAACCCGUCUGCCAUCUGCAGAUGUCCUUGGCAAGUUAACAUCACUCCAAGCUAUAAUUCUACGAGAGUGCUGGGCCAUCACUUCGCUGGGUGGUAUGGGAUCCCUCCCUUGUCUCACAGAUCUCUUUCUAAGUGGAUGCCCCUGCUUGGACAGUGAAACUGCUUUCCUGCCGUCCUCGUUGCAGUCUAUCCUUUUUGAGUCUUGUGCAGAUGUAGAUGUAAUCCUAGCCAAUGCAGAUUUGCCAUGUCUAUCUGAUCUUAUGAUAACUCAUUGUCAUAUGCGAACAGCAUCGUUACAGUUUGGCGACCUCCGAUCUCUUCGCUCCUUGAGUAUUAGGCAUUGUCCUGGGCUCUUAUCCUUGGUGUAUCUGCAGAAACUGAACUCUCUAGAAUUCCUCAUUCUGCAGAACUGCUCAAAUCUGGAGGCAGUGAAGAAUUUGCCCAGGUCACUCAAGAGUAUAGUAAUACACGGAUGUCCGAUUUUGGAGAAGGAAUCCGUAGAAAUUGAGCCCCUUUCGGGCAGGCGUAUGCUCAACGGCAUCCCUGUAGAAGACAGCUUCGAACAUGCUCUGUAAUGUGGAAAAAAGGUACGUAUCGCCUUCCCAUUCUUACGAAUUGGCAAACUUUGAAUUCCUGAUCUUCUUAUUCCUUUUUCCUCAUUAAAAGUGCAUAAGUUAAUCAGUCUCUUGAUGAAUCAACGAAGAUCUUGAAGUACUUCAAACUUUUCUACACCUUGCCUGUGUGUUUUGAGAUUAGAAUUAAAAACGUUGUAACUGACCUAGUUUUAGAUUGAAAUACUCUAUAAUCACUCAUCUAUCUAUCGAAGAUAAUAUUAUUAUUUAUCUCUGCAGUAUGUGGAUGCAUUCACUUCUGUACUCAUCAUGCACUUCUAUGUUAGUUACUCUUUCAAUUUUUUUUUUUUUUUCUUUCAGGGCAUCAAAUGUAGAAUCAUUAUUAAAGUGCUCGAGUAUAAUUUGGUUCUAGGAUUGGAUUUUAUAUUGUCGGUGUUAGAUACAAUCCUACAGUCCUAUUCUCUAAUCAUUGUCCUUUUCGAAUCUUAAUGCUAAAUCAACAUGGUUCAGAUGCAUUACUUCCUUUACUUUUAAUUCCUGCAGAUUCAAAAGUGUGGUAAAAAAGUAUUUUAUAUCAGUUUUCUUGCUGUAAUUUUCUAUGAAUCCCAUAAUUGAAAGGAUAAGAUUCAUGAUCUUGCAAUUCAAAUUGCAUCCUUCUAAUCUAUUUGAACGUUAUGUAUCACUUUAUUUUUCAUUGUGCUUACUUUUUAGUGUUCUAAUUCUGUAUCGAUUUCACAAUCUUUUUGCAGGCAUCUGGUGGGCAAUUAGCUUCUGAAGAUGGGGGAAAAAGAAUAAAGGUUUAUUAAUGGGUAUGUAUAUUGUUAUUGUGUGGGUUAUUAAUUGUUGUCAAAGAGUUGGUUUGGCCAUCCAAAAACAAAAAGAGCCAAAAAAAAAUUAAAAUUAAAACAGAAAAAAAAGGCUUGUUAAUGUGUAUGUGAUUCUAUAUUGCUAUUUGUGUGGAUUAUUAAUUGGUGUUGUUAAAGAAUUGGUUUGUCCAUCCCAAAAAAAAAGCCAAAAACAAGCAAAAAAAAAAAGCCAAAAUAAAGAAAAAAAGCAAAAGAAAAAAAGGGUGUGCAUGGUGUGCAUUGUGGACAUAAAAUGUAUUAUAUUUCACUUUUGUUUGUUUAAAUGUAUUAUGUUUUGUACGGCACAGAAGACUCUGUAGACUUAGAAUUAUUAACAUGUUAGUAUGUGAGUGUUUUAAUUUUGUUGUUGAAGAGUUGGUUCAGUUAAUUUUGUGCAUGGUGUGCAUUGUGGUCUUAAAAUAUAAUAUGUUUUCAUCCUUUUCUCUCUUAAUGUAUUACUAGUGUACGAACUUGCGCGAUACGAUGGAUAAAAUUAUAGUAAAAAUUUACGAAUUAAAUAAAUAAAUAAAAAUAUGAAAAAACAGUAAAUAAUCAUAAUUGACUGGCCAAUAAUAUAAAAAAUAUAUUAAAAUUUUUUUUAGAAUGAAAACACAACAUAGCGGACAACAAAGAAAGAAAAGGAAAAGAAUGAACUAUAGAAAAAUAAAAAAAAAACUUAUUGCACAGAUACUCCGAAAAAGGUGGUUGGGUCUGCUAUAUAUAACAUUAAUAGUAACCAACCAAAUAAUAUAUUAAAAGCUCACUAUUCUACUAAUUCAUUAUGAAAAAAUUUCUGUAUAACCACAACGCAAUAAAAUAAAAAAAAAUAAAGUCAUCAUUUCUGAACCUAACUAAAAUCCAAAUAUUUCAUCCUGUCAUCCUCCUUAUUCUUCUAGUUAUUCUUUCAAACAACACUCAAGCACUACACAAAUAGACCAGUUUGAAAAUUUUAUUUCUUUCAUCACAUAAAUGUUUCUGCCAAUAUAUAAAAUAGUAGGGACGGACCCAACAAAUUAGUAUUUGAUAUGUUAUAAGAGAAAAACCCAAAUUUUUUUAAAAAUUUGGAGAUUACAAUUAAGGCAAUCACAAAUUUUGAAAGUAAAAGAGCAAUAUUCAAAGGGCUUAUUUGGUAAAUUACAGUUGAUGGCGUAAUAACAGUGGGAGAGGAGGCACAGUCCCUUGGGCCCUCUAUAGUACGUGCACGAUGCGCAUAUCUAAAAGCUUCUGAAUCUCCUCACCCCUAUCAUAGCGACGUGGAUCGACAACGCCACCGGUGUUGCCGCCACCGACAACAUCUUCUUAGGUGAUGGCGACGACAACAACAGUAGUGGCCCCUUCGAAGUUGGCGGAUGCGAAGGUGUAUAGGUUGAGGGAGAGAGAUUGAUGUUGCCAGAGAAGAAAGAGAAAAAAAGAAAAAAAAAAUAGAGAGAAAAAGAGAAUGGGAAGGGUGGAAACUACAUGCGACGAUUGGCAGUGGGGAGAGAUGGGUGCAUUAAUUAGAAGGUCGUGCGGAAAGAAAAAGGUUACUAUUAGUGGCUAUUUGAAGAUGGGAAGGUGGAGUAUUAAUUAUAGAAAAAUGAAGGGUUAUGUUUAGUAAUACACACUCACAUGCGACCUAAUUUAAUAAAAAGAGAAAAAUUAUUGAUAUUUACAUGUGGGUCCCAUCGCAGUCAAAUUUUAAGGUCAUCUCGCCACGCGGAUUAGAUUAAGGGGACUAAUAGUAGUUUAUGGACGUACGGAAGGCAACAGAUUACUAUUAAUACCUAUUUGAAGAUAGGAGGGAGGAGCAUUAAUUAUAGAAAAAUGAAGGGUUAUAUUUAAUAGUAAACACUCACAUACGAGUAUACGACCUAGUUUAAAAAAAAGAGAAAAAUUAUUGAUACUUACAUGUGGGUUCCAUUACAGCCAAAUUGUAAGGUCAUCCCACCACGCGGAUUAGAUUAAAGGGAUUAAUAGUAGUUUAUGGACGUACAGAAGACAAAAGGUUACUAUUAGUUACUCUUUGAAGAUAAGAAGGCGGAGUAUUAAUUAUGAAAAGAUGAAACGUUAUAUAUAAUAGUAAACACUCUAUAGAUGACCUACUUUAAUGAAAAUAGAAAAAUUAUUGAUACUUAUAGAUGGGUCCUACAGUAGCCAAAUUUUAAGUUAAUCCCGCCACGUGGAUUAGAUUAGGGGGAUUAGUAGUAGUUUAUAGAUUUAUAGAUAUUUAGUAUGGUGUUAACUAAAGACCCUGUAAACCAGAGAUUUAUGUCGUGUUUGUAAUUUUGUAUGUGAAUUUGACUGUUUUAAUUUUGUUGUUGUAGUACCUCUUGUGCUUUUGGUUAAUAUAUAAAGAAUAUCUCUCUCUCUCUCUCUCUCUCUCUCUCUCUCUCUCUCUCUCUCGUUCUCUCUAUAUAUAUAUAUAUAUAUAUAUAUAUAUAUAGUGUAGAGCUACUAUGUUAUCGGAAACAUAAAGUAGUUGGUGCUUUCAAUUUUUUAGCCCUUGGAUCAAAGAUUCUACGGUUGGGAUGAUAGCGGUCCCCUUAGGGUUGAGCGGUCCCUUUAGGAUUGAGUGGUCCCCAUUGGUUAAUAAUAUUAAUUCAAUGGUUAGAAAUGAUCAAUGGGGUUAAUCUAAGGGCUAAAAAAUCGAAAGCACUAACUAUUUUAUACUUCCGAUAGCAUAUAUAGUAUAGCUCUACUCUCUCUCUCUCUCUCUCUCUCUCUCUCUCUCUCUCUCUCUCUAUAUAUAUAUUAAACAUGUUACUGAUAUUGCGAAAAUGUUUUUAUAUUGAUUCAUCAUCUCUUUGUCAAUAAAUGUGUGAUGAUCCAUUUGAUGUUUACUUGGCACUUUGAGAAAUUUCAACAACCUUUGGUUUCUAAAUUUGCUAGUUAGCUAUUUAGUACAUAAACAACUGAAAAUAAAAAUCUCAUAAAAAAUAGUGAUAUAAUAUUAAAAUUUUCGAUCAGAGAUAUAUUGAUCCUUUUUGUAAAUAAUACAAAAAAUUUUAUAUCAAAAUUUUAUCUGAUUUGAAUACUUUUAUACCAUUAAAUUUGUAAAUGAUAUACAUUAACUAUUAAAAAAUAGUAAUUUUAAACCUUUUCAAUCGUUAGUUAAAUGAUAUUGAAAAACUGUAAAAUUUAUUUUCUAAAUAAUUCAAAUAUGCUAGAUCUAGUCUAACGGAGCUGAUCGUCGAUUCGAAAAUUUCAUUAUCGAAAACGACUUAGGAGCACGAAGAGCUCCAUGCUCCUAAUAGCGCAUAAGACCUAUAUAUUUGCAAAUGGUUUACCAUGGUUACUAAAAUUGUUUUGGGUCACUAACAAUUAGCAGUAGAUUUGAAGGGAAUUGGUGGGCUACUUGACUAGUUGAUUCAUAUUUUUAGCUAAGUUUAUUUCUAAAUGAAAUAAACGAACGAAGCGGGUAACAUACUAAUUAUCUCUCAAAUUUUUUAUUAUUUUUUUUUUCUAAGGCCCAGCUACCUUACUCCUGUAAUUUAAUUUAUUUUUUUUUUUAAUGAAUGAAGUGAAAAGCAUACUAACUUUUCCGUAACAAAUUUUUUUGUUUUAAAAAAACAACUACCAGCGACUAAACCCAACAGGCUUCAGAACAUUAUCUGAUAGAAUUGCUAUCGGAGAAGGUGGUAUCUAUUGUCACCGUUCACUCAGUCAAGUCAAUAAGAUAGUACAAAUUAUUAUUAACGUUAUUAUCUAACCGGACCAAUGAAACCACAUCCAAAUUCAUUGGUCAUCUUAAACUUUUAGGUCUAUUCAUAAUAAUGUAAAAAUGUAUUAAAGAGUUCAAAUUCAAAAAAAUUAUUAUGUCUUCCGUUGGAACACGUUCAAGUCUCCAAACAAUUUCGCAAAAUAAAGGCUCUACUUAACUAGAAUUACUAACAGAGAGAAGAAUCAAAUUUGCACGAAAACAUUGAAAAAAAAUAGACAAACUUUAAUUACUUUAAGCCCUACCACUUUGCUAAUAAGGAUAAAUUUUAUUAUUAUUUUGAGCCUUAUUAUUUGUUGGUUUCUCUUCUUAUUGUUUUAGAAAUAAAUGGUUUUAAAAUCAAGUCAAGUCAAUGCACUGUGAUAAUGACCGUACAAUAAAUCAUUCUUCCUCCGCAUAUUCUGAUAUUCGUUCAUACAUUCAUUCUUCUCCUCUAAUUAAUUUUCUUAUUACUUUCUAUUUUUAUAUAUUUUUAAUUAUCUAUUCCUACGAGUGAUGUAUAUAAUAUAAUAAUAAUUAGUUGUUUUGCAACACAACACAAGAAUGCCAGUAGUUGAAUCGAUCGGAGUAGCGGCGCUGGGAUGGGUGGCGUCUCCCCUCGUGGCGAAGCUGCUCAACGAAGGCUUCGACAGCCUGGGCAUCGACGCGGAGGAGAAGCUGCAGAAGCUGAGGGCCAGCGUCCUCCCGGUGCUGAAAUCGGUGAUCGAGAAAGCGGAGGGCAGCCCGCACCGGAGCGAGGUGGAGGGCUGGCUGCAGAGGCUGAAAGACGCUUACGACGGCGCGGAGGACGCGCUGGACCGCCUCAACUACGACCGCCUCAGACGCAAGGCUAAGGCAGCCGCAAGGAGCAGCAGUGGUAAGAGGCCAACAAAUCCGGUACGUUCUUCUUCCGUUUUUCGCAUACCAAAACCUGUGAAAUGGGUGAAAAAAGGCGGCCGGGACAUGCUGUCGCCUGAAAAGAUCAAGCUGAAGCGAAGGCUGAACAAGCUGGAAAAGAUCGCCGGCGAAGCCAAGGAACUCAGCACUUUGUUAGGCGCACAGCCUGAGACAGCAGAGAGCAGGCAGACCAUCUCAGUGCCUCCACCGGAAGUGUUCGGCCGCGACGAAAAAUGCGAUGAAAUCAUUUGGCGUUUGAAAAGGGAAGUUGCAGCAAUUCGCGAGCCUGGAUCAUCAUCGGGCGUGCCUAUAAUUGCCAUAGUCGGCCGCCCGGGGGUCGGGAAGACUACUCUCGCACAGUACGUUCGCGAGCAGCUGGGGAGCGAGUCAUCACAUUUUCAUCCCAUCAUGUGGGUCCACGCAUCUCGCAAUCUCAACGCAGCCGAAAUUAUGAAAGACAUCAUACAACAAGCUUCUCUCGCAGGCGAGCCUCAAGAAGAUCUCGGUGACCCUGAUGUCGCCGUGCUUCUUUCCAAUCUCGACGCUGUGGUCGCGGGCAACCUUAGCUCGCCUGAAGCGCUGCGGCUGAAAAUGAACAAAAAGCUGAACGCGAAGAAGUUCCUGCUCGUGAUAGAUGAUGUUUGGUGCCACACAGAAGACGACGAGAAGAACUGGGAUACACUAUUCAGAUGUUUAAGCAAAUGUUGUUGUUUGCCAGGGAGCAAGAUUUUAGUUACGUCUCAAUCGGACGAUGCGCCGAGAAAGAUUGCUGCUGCCUGUGGUGCUGCUGUAAAACCCAUUUUGCAGUUGGAGGAAUUAGAGGAGAACUACUUUUUGGAUCUUUUCAUUCACUACGCAUUGCCUAGCAGGGAAAUCAAUUCUCGCCUAAGAGAAGAGUUAGAAGAGAAAUGCAAGACAAUCGCUAAGAAGUUGAACAAGGACCCUACGGCGGCCAAGAUGGUUGGCGAGACGAUCGCUACAGAGCUGGCCGAUCUCCUUCGUUCACAAGGUGAUUGGCGUACGUAUUUGGAAACGAUUGCGCAGAAGGACUGGUCCGGUGCCACAACCAAAGCACUGAUGUGGAGUUAUCAGCAUUUGCCUGCACAUCUUCAACGUUGCUUCUCGUACUGCAGCCUGUAUCCUAGAGGCCACGAGUUCAAAGCUCGAGAACUGGUUCAGCUCUGGAUGGCGCAAGGUUUUAUCAAGCCGGAUGAUCAGAAUGAGACGAUGGAGGAUGCAGGCAACGGUUACCUUGAAAAGCUGGUGUCCAGAUUCUACAUUCAGUUUCAUAACAGAGACAGCCACUCCUUCGGGACAGGUAAGCGUGGCGGCUACUAUACUCUGCAUGAAUUGUUGUAUGAUCUAGCGGUAAAGGUUACUAGCAGUGAUUGUGUCCGAAUAGAAGGUAAUCGUCAAAGCGAGAUCCCGUCAACCAUUCGCCAUCUGUGCAUACCGGCCGACAGACUGAACGAGAAUAAGAAGAGCAUUUGCAAACUGAAGAAACUUCGCACCCUAAUCGUCACGAAAGGAGAAAGCGUUGUCUCAGACGAAAAUGUUGUGACCGACAUCUUCAAGAGGUUAAGAAAGUUGCGCGUGCUGCUGGUUUUGGGAUUAAAUUUAGAAAAACUGGCAAAGUUUAACAGUGAAAUGAAACACCUUCGCAUCCUACAACUUUCAGGAGGUACUAGCGAGUUCGUGUUGCCGGAGUUGGUGUCCACUCUGUAUCAGUUACAGGUGUUGGAAGUAGAAAACGCUAGCUCGCUUCCUGCACGCCUUCCUCCGAGACUUCAAAAAAUCACAAUAAUUCGUUCACCAUUUCUCACCUUCGUAACAAAUGAAGACCUGCAGUUGAGCCAAGAUGACAAGAGAUCCAUAAGAGAGGUCAUGAGGAACAGGACGCAGGAAUGGUUCCGACACCAAUAUAAAGAAGACUUAGUCCGCAACGAAAGAGAAAUGAGGAAUUUCAUUGCCACAAUGAAUGGCCGAGAGCAUAACAACAGUGUGCCUGCCGCCGAUGCGGAUAUUGCUGCUGUGUGGGGGAGAUGGUUGGAGACGUAUGAGCGAAAAACGGAAUUAAUUUACAGCAGGCAAAAUGAGGCCAAAUUGCAUUUGCCCUCUACCAUUACUAGGCUCUGGCUCGAGGGAUGCAACAUGACCGACCACGCAUUGUCGGUAUGCCUACAAAACCUCCCCUCCCUUACGCAGCUGUUGUUAGCAGAUCUCAAAAUGAUAACCCGUCUACCAUCUGCGGACGUCCUUGCCAACUUAAUAUCACUCCAAACUUUGCGUCUGAGCGACUGCUGGGCUCUUACCUCCCUGGGUGGUAUAGGAUCCCUCCCAUGUCUCAGAAAACUCUUUCUAAUUGGAUGCCCCUGCUUGGACAUUAAAACUGCUGUCUUGCCACCCUCGUUGCAGUCUAUUUUUUUUGAUUCUUGUGCAGACGCAGAUGUAAUCCUAGCCAAUGCAAAUUUGCCACAUCUAUCUCAUCUUACGAUUUCUCGAUUUCAUAAGCAAACGGCAUCAUUACAGUUUGGCAACCUCCGAUCUCUUCAAUCCUUGACUGUCGAGCAUUGUUCUGGUCUCUCAUCCUUGGUGGAUUUGCGGGAACUGCACUCUCUAAAAUUACUCAUUCUGGAGAGCUGCCCAAAGCUACAAUCAGUGGCGAAGGUGCCCAGGUCACUGAAGCGUAUAGUAAUAUACAAAUGUCCGCUUUUAGAGGGAUGAUCCUAAAACACCGACCCGAUUUCAGGAGUGCGUAUGCUUGGCGGCAUCCCUGUAGAUGACAACUACGGUCUACGGAACAUGCUCUGUAAUGUAGAAAAGAGGUAUGUAUCGCCUUCGUGUUCUUACAAAUUGGCAAACUUUGAAUUCCUAAUCUUUCUAUUCUUUUUCCCUCCUCAAUAGUGCAAAAGUUGAUCAGUCUCUUGAUGAAUCAGCGAAAAUCUUGAAGUACUUCAAACUUUUCUACACCUUGCCUGUGUGUUUUGAGAUUAGAACUAAAAUGAUCAACUGACCUAGUUUUAGAUUGAAAUACUUUA
rnacentral:lncRNA from 1 species